CUUGGUCAGCCCCGGCAUCGGCACCUUGAGGUACACCGCGUCGUCGUCCUCCUUGGCCACCCAGCGUCCCAGCCGCGACGCCCCAGCACCAGCAGUGGAGGAGAGGCCGCCGGUCUGAGAUGCGACGUCCUCCAUCAGAGACAGCAGACGGGCCAUGCUGGUCUGCGCGCCGAGCGGGUCGAGCACGUCUGCAGAAUCAACACCGAGGACACCAAAAGCAGAUCAGAAGGCUGAUUUGACCCACGAUGUUGAGACUUCAGAACGAACGCAAGGAAACGGCGCACCACAGGUGGGGAACGGAAGCAUACCCUGCGAGAAGAAGCUGGGGAUGACGAGGUCGCGGUCGUCGUCCUUGUCGUCGUCGUAGCGGCUGACCUCCUUGACCCGGGUGUUGUACGGGCGGCGGGCGGCGGCGACGGCGGGGGAGUGGAGCGCGGAGAAGGCCACGGGAGCACCGGACUUGAGGAGGCUGGCCGCUGGCGCGGCACCCUCGCCCUUGCAAACGACGGCGGAGGCCAUGGUCUCUGUCUUCUCUCUCUCUCUCCUCUUUCUCUCUCUUCUUUCCCUCUCUUCUCUCUCUCUGCUGUAAUGAUUUUGGAUUCUUGUGGUGAGCGAGAGAGGGGGUGCGAAAUGGAGGGGGUUUUGUAAGUGGGGAGCGGGGGAGAUUUCUUGGGGGAGGGGAUGGGAAACGGGUUUAGAAGGUUCUGGACAGAUCGGUUGGGGUCUCGAGCCUUCCAGAAAGAUCUGGAGGCCACAGCUUUACGAUUCGUGCUGCUUGAUAUGCGAUUAGGGCGACAUGGAUGGUGCUAACUUUUGAUCUGCUCAGCUACGUCCGGUACGAGUGAUUUGCUUUUCAAAGUUGGACUACUUUUGCAAUGAAUGGUGGACUCAGAUCGAAGCAACAGACAUCUGCAUUGCUUAAGCCAAUACAGUGUCAACCUAAUAACACUGUUUGGUUUGCUAAGCUCUGCAUGUUGAGCUUAUACAAGGCUCCUAAAUAACCAUACGAAAAUAAUAAAUAUAAAUAAUCGUACUAUAAAUAUGAAAUAAUUGUAUUAUAAAAUCGUACUAUAAUGACCCACCAAAUCCAAGGUUAUCUUCUUUUUUUUAAAAUAAUAUUGGGGAACGUCAGAUUUGUAACAAGUUCCAGCGAACGCUCUGCCCUGCCACCUGCUCACGUGCACGGAUCUUAGCACAGGAAGCCAUGCCACGUCAGAUUCGAAAAUCAUAAACAGGACAUAAAAAUUGCACGAGCGCUAUCCUAACCAAGCAGAGCCGACCACCCGAGGUCUAUGAUUAAAUCUCAGAUCCUUCUUUUAUUUUAUUUUUAUACUUUUACAAGGUGGCAAAUAUAUGGAAUUUUUCGUUUUCGGUACAUGUCAAUUUUUUUAGAAAAAAUGGCAGACUUAUAAAAAAAAUUAACUUGCCACAUGGCAAUUUUUUUAAAAAAACUGGUAAUGUUUCACAUGUCAAGUUUGUUUUGUACAUUGGGAAAUUUUAGAAAAAAAAAUCAUAUGGUCCCAUGAGAAAUUCAUAAAAAAAAUUUACUUCCAAACAUAGCAAUUUUAGUCUUUUUUGUGAUGCUACCAUGGCAAGCUUUGAAAUUUUUUAUCAACUAUUUUCAUGACCUUUUGGGUAUUAUUUUUUUCUAUUUUCGCACAUGCCAAUUUUAUUACUAAGAGGAUAGCAAUUUUAUUAUUUUAGAGCAUGGAAAAUUUAUUAUUGAGAGCAUGGCAAUAGUAUUUAUUUGUUGGAUCGUGCCAACUUCUUGUGUGUGAUCUUUAUGUGUUAUUGAAAAUGAAAAUGUAAAGCAUGGAAAGUUCUGUGUAUGUCUUUCUUUUAAUUCAUAUGCAAAUUUGCCAUGCAUAAUCUUAUUUUAUCUACAAUUUGGACCACGGUUUUUUGUUAUUGUUUUUUUAAUUUACCAUGGCCUUUUUGCCAUGCAACUAUUUUUUGUGCACUACCAUGACUUUUUUUUGUUUGCAUUUUGUAAGCUAUGCAGUCUGUCUUUUUCUGCAUAAGAAAAAAAAUUAAUUUUUGGUUGAUGGAAAUUUUUCUGAAAAUGGCAACUAUUUGGCAUAGUCCUUUUUUCUGCACCAUAAUUAUUUGGGCCAGCUUGGGGGUCGCAUGGCAACAUUAUUAUAUGCCUACCUAAAAAAGUUUGCUUGAUCAUCCCCGUCCCAGCAAACGAAUUAUUCGCUCGUGGGUUCCAUCCGUUUUGAUGUCCGGGAUAUUGCGGUACCUUUAAAAAACACCAAGUAUGUGUACCUUCGAUCCCCCUUGGCUCCCAUGGCCUCGGGUUCGACCAGCAUGACGCUAGUUUCUAGAGCCUUUUCGUGUCAGCAGCCGGUGGUCACGGGUCUAGGCCUCUCAGAGUCACCCGCGUCCUCUUGCUCAUCCUCAGAAGGUGUUGCGCCACCUAAAGCGGAGCAUCCGGCUCAAGCGGCGGCACACGCGGAGGGCUGGCUGAAUCCUGAUCCUCGCAGAAGGCCAUGCGGCACUGUCGUCGAGCAUUGCAGCACUAGCAAGAGGUUAGCUCGGUGGGAGACGUUCAUCCACUUCCUCCCGGAGGCAAAAUUUCAUGCUUUGACCCUUUUGUGGUACAAAAUCAGGAUUUGACCCAUGUUUGAAUUUUUUUUGACAUUUGACCCUUUUUCCUAUCGCCACGAGGCUGGCGGUAGGAUUACCUAGGCUACCGUCAGAAACUGUGGCGGUAGGAAACUUAUCCACGUCAACAGUGUUAACGGCCUCCGUCCCACCCUACCGCCACCAGUCAUGGCGGUAGCUUGUCCGAUCCUACCGCUGGGGUCCCUGGCGGUAGGGUGCGGGCAGUUAUAAGCCGCGCGCCGCCCCACCCCUCCCCUUCUUCCCCCAACCACCCGCCCCAAGAACAGAGGAGUUCUUCCUCUCGCCCCUCUCUCUUCUCCUCCACUCCCCCCCUCUGAUCUUCGUCGUUUCUUCACCGUUUUUGCGGAUCGAGAUGGCCCCGAAGAAAGAAAAGUAAGCUCCUUCGAUCCCUCAAAUUAGUUUUAGUUAAAUAGCUUCCGAUUCGUCGCAUUAUUUGAUUUAAAUCACCCCCCUUCUUGAACUAGAUUUAAAUAUUUUGAACCCUAGGAUUGAUUUAGGUUGAUUAUAGAUGUUAUAUUGUGUUAGUUAUGAAUUCUAGUCACUAUUUGGUAUGGUUAUGUGAAGGUGAACCCUAGUUCGUAUUAUUUUUUGGAGGAUUUUUUAUAUGAUACAUGUUGGAGGAAUUUAUUGUGAUAUGAUGAUGCAUGUUGAUAUGCUAUGAUGCAAGUAGUGGAUAUAGUUGGAGAACAAAUGUUGAACCCUCAAGAUGAACCUAGUUCAUAAUAUUUUUCUCUUAAACAAAUUUAUGAAUAUUGGAGAUAUUUGUUUUGAUAUAGGAUGCAUGUGGAUCUUAUAUGAUGCAAGUAGUGGAUUUUGUUGGAGUAAACAUGGUUAAUCCCUCAAGAUGAACCCUAGUUUAGGGUUUUUGUUUUUGAAAACAAUAUGAUAUGAUGCAUGUUGGAUGUUGUUGGAGAAAUAUGAUAUGAUAUGAUGCAUUUGAACCAUGGUGAUUGCAUCUUCAUAUAUGUAUUUUAUUUAGUUCUUGAUAUAUGUAUUGUAUUUAGUUCAUGUUCAUGAUCAUCUUGAUAUAUGAUUAUUCAAAGAUUGAACUCGUAGGUUUUUUUGGAUGUGAUGAACCUUUGUUAUGCAUCGAUAUGUUUCCUAGUUAAUGAUGAACCCUAGUUCAUGUUGAAAAAUCUUUUAAUGUGCUUAUGCAAUUCUUUUAGGAGGCCACCUCUUGCGGACGGCAUCGGCAUGAAGUACACCUUGCUUCACACUAGGUUCGACAAGCGUCACCGUGCCCGUUUCAUUGAAAAUGGAGUGGUAAUUACCAUUUUAAACCAAAUCUUUUGAAUUGAUGAAAACAAGUUGCUAACUAUUAUGUCCAUGCUAAUUAUGCUUUGGUUAUUGAUUUUCAUAGAUGUUGUCGCCACUGCGGAUGAGGGCUCACAAGACGACGGUUAAGAUGGAGUACGACAAGCGGUACGCACCGUUCUUCAGGAGAGCCCGACUAUUGGGUUUCGUCCUGCAGUUCAAGCGUAAGCCGCUGACGCUCGUCCACUCAGCUCUCACGGCUUUGAUCGACAGGUGGCGGCCAGAUACGCACAGCUUCCAUCUUCCAUGUGGGGAGAUGACCGUGACCCUCGAGGAUUGGGCGAUGAUUACGGCCCUACCGCUCGAGGGUCGUGCUCUCACAGGAAGAGUGGAGAGGGCGAACUGUCACGAUAGGGUUGUCACCCUCAUCAGCGACUGCCCCCCCCCCCUCGUUAAGAGCAACGGACUUUCGGCAUACCGCUGCCAUGGCUCCUCAAGCACCAGAGCAAGUGCCUGGAAGAUGCCGAGCCCCGGGUGGUGGAGCAGUAUGCCAGGGCCUACCUGUGGUAUCGUCCCACGGAGGUAGUGUUUCCGGACUGCUCCGGGAACACUGCCCUAUGGAUGUAUCUCGACUUCCUAAAGGACUGGGAUGCGGGCUACAGCUGGGGGGCCACCGGACUCUCCUACCUAUACCAUUCGGUAAGUGAAUAUCACUUUCUUUCAAAUAUCAUGGACGUGUGCUACUUUAGAUUUUGACAUCUUAUCAUCUAUACUUGGUUUGUAGCUUGACGACGCGACCCAGAGAGCGGAAGUCACGUACGGUAUGUGUGGAUGUGUAUGGGGCCUCUCCAUUUGGAUGUGGGAGUAAAUCCCGGUGGGCCGUCCGGAGAAGCUGCGCUUGCAUGCAUUGAUGGACUAUGCCAGAGAUGACGAAGAUGAUUGGAACCCGACCGUCACAUACGCUUGGGACGUGGUGCGUGUCUACACGGGCGAAUCGAAGGCCUUGUACAAGGUCUUCAGCAACAAGCUUGCUGCUCUCACGCCUUUCCAGGUAUAAGAACUACGUUUUGAAUAGUUUCGAUAACACUUUCACUUGAGCUUACCAUUGUUUGGUUAUAAGUUACUUGGCGGCCGUAUAAUGAUGAUCGAGAGUGGGGGUUCGAGCUGAACAGCAUGUGCAAGAAGGACCGGCUUCUCUUCAGAUGCAUCGUGCCCAUGAUUUGUGUCUAUGCCGUGGAGUACCACUUGCCACAACGUGUUGCCGCACAAUUUGGUAAAGCGCAACACACACCACCAGCCGGCAUCGACCACAAUACCGGUGGCUACGACCUACACCAGUGAGUACCACAAGUCGUCCUCGUCGAUUCUAAAUUCUUGUUUUGAUGUUUUACAUUCAUACAAGAAGGGUGUUUUACAUUCUUUCUUAUGCAUUGUAGGAUGAGCAGAUAGAAGAAUCAAUCAAUCACAGAUUGGGAAGCCGAACAUGCGAGAUACGUGAAGGAAUGGAACGAGUGGAAAGGACACAAAGACACGGAGAGGAGAGUGAUUGACUGGGACGAAUACGAGGAUCACAUGCUGUGGUAUGACGAUGGCAUCAAGCAUCGUCUGCGUCUGAGGCCCCAGUGGACGAUAGCAGAUGCCGAAGACCUGUUCGAUGACGACUCCGAGAAUGAAUCCUACAAUGAGAGCAUCAGAGAGCUUCAAGGCGGGUUUAGGGAGUACGGACCACUCAUGAACAGAGUGGUAAGUUGUUUUUAACUCUUUUGAAUUGACGGUUGGAUGAAAUCAGAUUUUAGUGGUACUGACUCAUUUUAUUACUUUGCAGUCUUCAGAGCUGAACAAAAGCAUUUUUCAAGCCUCUGAUGCGCUUAGUUCUAUACCCGGUACUCGAUCUAGUGAGAACAAGUUGAGGGAAUUGAUGAAGGUAAUAUGGAGUUCAUUUUCGUAAGUUCAUUUGCAGAAAUUGGACAUUGCAGAAGUUCACAUUGUCUCGUUAUCAUUGCAGAAGUACGUCAACAAAGCAUGCAGGCUUGUGGGCCUGCUUGGGUGCGCUACAAACACCGAGGAUGUUUUUCCUCCUGCACCAAUGCGUAGCCUCGCUUCAUCGAGCCAUGCAGCCUCGUCGUCUAGGGCGGUUCAAGAUGACGAGGAGGAGAGCAAGGAUGAUGAUGAUGAAGAGGAAGAUGAAGAAGAGGGCGCAGAAGAAGAACAUGGUGAAGAAGAGGAAGAGGAUGAUCAGGAGGAGGAGUAUGAUGAUGACGACGGACCUCCAGCAACUCAGCCAACCCAGCGUGAGAAGAGGAAUGUGUCGAAGAAGGAUUGGAAGAGUCCAUCCCCGUCUCAGAAAGCACGUCCUACUCACCACAAGAAGACAACGGCCGAGAAGCGAUCCAAGACCAACGAGGACUGAACAUCGAAGAGGGGAAGGAGGGACUGAAGUUGCUGCUGUGCCGUGGCGUUGAAAUAUAAACAUUUCAUGUUGUUUGCUUCUUGAACAAUUUGCUCGUGAAACUUUUUCGUGAAUUUGCUAUGUAAAACUUGCUCGUGGAUGUGUGCUUGUUAUGUAUCCAACUUUAUUAUUUGUGGAUUUGUGGAUGUGUGCUUGCUAUGUGAUACAUAUGGUUCAUGUUUAUAAGUAUUUAAUUGUUAUGUGCAAAAAAUUGAAGACAAGAGAAAUUAGGAGGUGCAAAAAAUGCACUCUGGGCCACCCUACCACUAGGCCAUACAGCGGUAGGUAUGCACAGCAUACCGCUACGCCUGCCAGCUAUAGGGUGCCUCCCCCAGCACGCCCCUUUCUGUGACCAAAACUGCCAGCAGCUCAGCGGUAGGGUUGCACACCCUACUGUUGGAAAUAUGCCCUAGAGGCAAUAAUAAAUUAGUUAUUAUUAUUAUAUUUCCUUGUUCAUGAUAAUUUUUUAUUAUCCAUGCUAUAAUUGUAUUGAUAGGAAACUCAGAUACAUGUGUGGAUACAUAGACAACACCAUGUCCCUAGUAAGCCUCUAGUUGACUAGCUCGUUAAUCAAUAGAUGGUUACAGUUUCCUGACCAUGGACAUUGGAUGUCGUUGAUAACGGGAUCACAUCAUUAGGAGAAUGAUGUGAUGGACAAGACCCAAUCCUAAGCCUAGCACAAAUAUCGUGUAGUUCGUAUGCUAAAGCUUUUCUAAUGUCAAGUAUCAUUUCCUUAGACCAUGAGAUUGUGCAACUCCCAGAUACCGUAGGAAUGCUUUGGGUGUACCAAACAUCACAACGUAACUGGGUGGCUAUAAAGGUACACUACGGGUAUCUCCGAAAGUGUCUAUUGGGUUGGCACGAAUCGAGACUGGGAUUUGUCACUCCGCGUGACGGAGAGGUAUCUCUGGGCCUACUCGAUAGGACAUCAUUAUAAUGUGCACAAUGUGACCAAGGGGUUGAUCACGGGAUGAUGUGUUACGGAACGAGUAAAGAGACUUGCCGGUAAUGAGAUUGAACAAGGUAUCGGGAUACCGACGAUCGAAUCUUGGGCAAGUACUAUACCGCUAGACAAAGGGAAUUGAAUACGGGAUUGAUCGAAUCCUCGACAUCGUGGUUCAUCCGAUGAGAUCAUCGUGGAACAUGUGGGAGCCAACAUGGGUAUCCAGAUCCCGCUGUUGGUUAUUGGCCGGAGAGUUGUCUCGGUCAUGUCUACGUGUCUCCCGAACCCGUAGGGUCUACACACUUAAGGUUCGAUGACGCUAGGGUCAUAGGAAAUAGAUGUACGUGGUUACCGAAUGUUGUUCGGAGUCCCGGAUGAUAUCCAGGACGUCAGGAGGAGUUCCGGAAUGGUCCGGAGGUAAAUAUUUAUAUAUGGGAAGUCCUGCUUUGGUCACCGGAAAAGUUUCGGGUUCUAUCGGUAACGUAUCGGGACCACCGGGAGGGUCCCGGGGGUCCACCAGGUGGGGCCACCAGUCCCAGAAGGCUGCGUGGGCCAUGUUUGGGAGGGGACCAGCUCCAGGUGGGCUGGUGCACCCCCCACCAAGGCCCAAGGCGCAUGGAGAGUGGGAGGGGGCAAACCCUAGGUCCAGAUGGGCCCUAAGGCCCACCCUAGGUGCGCCCUCCCUCUCUCCCCCUCUGGCCGCCACCCAGAUGGGAUCUGGGGGCUGACGCCACCCCUAGGGAGGGAACCCUAGGUGGGGGCGCAGCCCCUCCUCACCCCCUAUAUAUACUUGAGGUUUGGGGGCUGCCCAUAACAUGAUUUGAUCUCCCUCUUGGUGCAGCCCUACCCCUCUCCCUCCUCGUCUCUUGCGGUGCUUGGCGAAGCCCUGCUGGAGUACCACGCUCCUCCACCACCACCACGCCGUUGUGCUGCUGCUGGACGGAGUCUUCCCCAACCUCUCCCUCUCUCCUUGCUGGAUCAAGGCAUGGGAGACGUCACCGGGCUGCAUGUGUUUUGAACGUGGAGGUGUCGUUCGUUCGGCACUAGGAUUAUCGGUGAUUUGGAUCACGACGAGUACGACUCCACCAACCCCAUUCACUUGAACGCUUCCGCUUAGCGAUCUACAAGGGUAUGUAGAUGCACUCCCCUUUCCCCAUUGCUAGAUUACUUCAUAGAUUGAUAUUGGUGUUGCGUAGAAAAUUUUGAAUUUCUGCUACAUUCCCCAACAGUGGUAUCAGAGCUAGGUCUAUGCGUAGUUUCUAUGCACGAGUAGAACACAAAGUAGUUGUGGGCGUCGAUAUUGUCAAUUUACUUGUCGUUACUAGUCUUAUCUUGAUUCGGCGGAAUCGUGGGAUGAAGCGGCCCGGACCGACCUUACACGUACGCUUACGUGAGACAUGUUCCACCAACUGACAUGCACUUGUUGCAUAAGGUGGCUAGCGGGUGCCAGUCUCUCCCACUUUAGUUGGAUCGGAUUCGAUGAAAAGGGUCCUUAUGAAGGGUAAAUAGAAAUUGACAUAUCAGGUUGUGGUUUUUGCGUAAGUAAGAAACGUUCUUGCUAGAAACCCAUAGCAGCCACGUAAAACAUGCAAACAACAAUUAGAGGACGUCUAACUUGUUUUUGCAGGCUAUGCUAUGUGAUGUGAUAUGGCCAAAAAGAAUGUGAUGAAUGAUAUGUGUUGUAUGAGAUUGAUCAUGUGCUUGUAAUAGGAAUCACGACUUGCAUGUCAAUGAGUAUGACAACCAGCAGGAGCCAUAGGAGUUGUCUUAAUUUAUUGUAUGACCUGCGUGUCAUUGAACAACGCCAUGUAAUUACUUUAAUUUAUUGCUAAACCGUUAGCCAUAGUAGUAGAAAUAAUAGUUGGCGAGACUACUUCAUGGAGACACGAUGAUGGAGAUCAUGAUGAUGGAGAUCAUGGUGUCAUGCCGGUGACGAUGAUGAUCAUGGAGCCCCGAAGAUGGAGAUCAAAAGGAGCAAAUGAUAUUGGCCAUAUCAUGUCACUUUUGAUUGCAUGUGAUGUUUAUCAUGUUUAUGCAUCUUCUUUGCUUAGAACGACGGUAGUAAAUAAGAUGAUCCCUCAUUAAAAUUUCAAGAAAGUGUCCCCCCUAACUGUGCACCGUUGCGAAGGUUCGUUGUUUCGAAGCACCACGUGAUGAUCGGGUGUGAUAGAUUCUAACGUUCGAAUACAACGGGUGUAAGCCAGAUUUACAAACGCAAUACACUUAGGUUGACUUGACGAGCCUAGCAUGUACAAACAUGGCCUCAGAACACGGAAGACUGAAAGGUCGAGCAUGAGUCGUAUAGAAGAUACAAUCAACAUGAAGAUGUUUACCGACGUUGACUAGUCCGUCUCACGUGAUGAUCGGACACGGCCUAGUUGACUCGGAUCAUGUAAUCCGUUAGAUGACUAGAGGGAUGUCUAUCUGAGUGGGAGUUCAUAAGAUGAACUUAAUUAUCCUGAACAUAGUCAAAAGAUCUUUGCAAAUUAUGUCGUAAGCUCGCGGUUUAGUUCUACUGUUUAGAUAUGUUCCUAGAGAAUAUUCAGUUGAAAGUUGAUAGUAGCGAUUAUGCGGACUAGGUCCAUAAACUGAGGAUUGUCCUUGUUGCUUUGAAGAAGGCUUAUGUCCUUAAUGCACCGCUCAGUGUGCUGAACCUCGAACGUCGUCUGUGGAUGUUGCGAACAUCUGACACACACAUUUUGAUAACUACGUGAUAGUUCAGUAAUGUUAAACGGUUUAGAGUUGAGGCACCGAAGACGAUUUCAAAACAUCGCGAAACAUAUGAGAUGUUUCGAGGGCUGAAAUGGGGAUUUCAGGCUCGUGCCCACGUCAAGAGGUAUAAGACCUCCGACGAGUUUCUUAGCCUACAAACUAAGGGAGAAAAGCUCAAUCGUUGAGCUUGUGCUCAAAUUGUCUGAGUACCACAAUCACUUGAAUCGAGUGGGAGUUAAUCUUCCAGAUGAGAUAGUGAUGUUUUUCCAAAGUCAUUGCCACCAAGCUGCUAGAGCUUCGUGAUGAACUAUAACAUAUCAGGGAUAGAUAUGAUGAUCCUUGAGAGAUUCGCGAUGUUUGACACCGCGAAAGUAGAAAUCAAGAAGGAGCAUCAAUUGUUGAUGGUUGGUGAAACCACUAGUUUCAAGAAGGGCAAGGGCAAGAAGGGAUACUUCAUUAAACGGCAAAUCAGCUGCUGCUCUAGUGAAGAAACCCAAAGUUUGAACCCAAACCCAAGACUAAGUGCUUCUGUAAUAAGGGGAACAGUCACUAGAGCAGAAUUACCCUCGAUACUUGGUAGAUGAGAAGGCUGGCAAGGUCGAUAGAAGUAUAUUGGAUAUACAUGUGUACUUUACUAGUACUCCUAGUAGCACCAGGGUAUUAGAUACCGGUUCGGUUGCUAAGUGUUAGUAACUCGAAAUAAAAGGUUGCGGAGUAAAUGGAGACUAGCUAAAGGUGAGCUGGCGAUAUGUGUUGGAAGUGUUUUCCAAUCUUGAUGUGAUCAAGCAUCGCACGCUCCCUCUACCAUCGAUAUUGGUGUUAAACCUAAAUAAUUGUUAUUUGGUGUUUGCAUUGAGCAUAGACAUGAUUGGAUUAUGUCUAUCGCAAUACGGUUAUUCAAUUAAGGAGAAUAAUGGUUACUCUGUUUAUUUGAAUAAUACCUUCAAUGGUCUUGCACCUAAAAUGAAUGGUUUAUUGAAUCUCGAUCGUAGUGAUACACAUGUUCAUGCCAAAAGAUAUAAGAUAGUAAUGAUAGUACCACCUACUUGUGGCACUGCCAUGUAAGUCAUAUUGGUAUAAAACGCAUGAAGAAGCUCCAUGUUGAUGGAUCUUUCGACUCACUCAUUUUUGAAAAGUUCGAGACAUGCAAACCAUGUCUAUUGGUGUAUAUGCAUGAAGAAACUCCAUGCAAAUGGACCGUUUGGACUCACUUGAUUUUGAAUCACUUGAGACAUGCAAAUCAUACCACAUGGGCAAGAUGACUGAAAGCCUCGUUUUCAGUAAAAUGGAACAAGAAAGCAACUUGUUGGAAGUAAUACAUUUUGAUGUGUUCAGUCCAAUGAGUGCUGAGGCACGCAGUGGAUAUCGUUAUGUUCUUACUUCACGGAUGAUUUGAGUAGAUACUGAGUAUAUUUACUUGAUGAAACAUAAGUCUGAAUUAUUGAAUGGUUAAAGUAAUUUCAGAGUGAAGUUGAAGAUCAUCGUGACAAGAGGAUAAAAUGUCUAUGAUAUGAUCAUAGAGAUGAGUAUCUGAGUUACGAGCUUUGGCACACAAUUAAGACAUUGUGGAAAUUGUUUCACAAUUAAUACCGCCUGGAACACCAUAGUGUGAUGGUGUGUCCGAACAUCAUAGUUGCACCCUAUUGGAUAUGGUGCGUACCAUGAUGUCUCUUAUCGAAUUACCACUAUCGUUCAUGGGUUAGGCAUUAGAGACAACCGCACUCACUUUAGUAGGGCACCACAUAAUUCCGUUGAGACGACACCGUUUGAACUAUGGUUUGGAGAAACCUAUGUUGUCGUUUCUUAAAAGUUUGGGGCUACGACGCUUAUGUGAAAAAGUUUCAGGUUGAUAAGCUCGAACCCAAAGCGGAUGAAAUGCAUCUUCAUAGGACACCCAAAACAGUUGGGUAUACCUCCUAAUUCAGAUCCGUAAGCAAUAGGGAUUGUUUCUUGAAUCGGGUCCUUUGUCGAGGAAGAGUUUGUCACGAAAAUUGAGUGGGAGGAUGGUGGAGACUUGAUAUGGUUAUUGAACCGUCACUACAACUAGUGUGUAGCAGGGCACGGGAAGUUGUUCCUGUGGCACCUACACCAAUUGAAGUGGAAGCUUAUGAUAGUAAUCAUGAAACUUCGGAUCAAGUCACUACCAAACCUCGUAGGUCGACAAGGAUGCGCACUACUUCAGAGUGGUACCUAAUCCUGUCUUGGAGGUCAUGUUGCUAGUCAACAAUGAACCUACGAGCUAUGGAGAAGCGAUGGUGGGCCCGUAUUCCGACAAAUGGUUAGAAGCCGUGAAAUCCGAGAUAGGAUUCAUGUAUCAGAACAAAGUAUGGACUUUGGUGGACUUGCCCGACGAUCGGCAAGCCGUUGAGAUAAAUGGAUCUUUAAGAAGAAGACGGACGUGGACGGUAAUGUUGCCGUCUAUGAAGCUUGACUUGUGGCAAAGAGUCUUUUCACAAGUUCAAGGAGUUGACUACGAUGAGAUUUUCUCAUCCGUAGCGAUGCUUAAGUCCAUCGGAAUCAUGUUAGCAUUAGCUGCAUUUAUGAAAUCUGGCUGAUGGAUGUCAAAACAAGUUUCCUUACCAGUUUUCGUAAGGAAAGGUUGUAUGUGAUACAAUCAGAAAGGUUUUGUCGAUCCUAAGGAUGGCUAAAGGUAUGCUAGCUCCAGCGAUCCUUCCAUGGACUAGAGCAAGCAUCUCGGAGUCAGAAUAUACGCUUUGAUGGAGUGAUCAAAGUUUUGGGUUUAUACAAAGUUUGUUAGAAACUUGUAUUUACAAUAAAGUGAGUGGGAGCACUACAACAUUUCUGAUAAGUAUAUGUGAAUGACAUAUUGUUGAUUCGAAAUGAUGUAAAAUUUCUGGAAAGCACAAAGGGUUGUUUGAAUGGAGUUUUUCAAAGGAAAACCUGGAUUAAGCUGCUUGAACAUUGAGCAUCAAGAUCUAUAAGGAUAGAUCAAAACGCUUAAUGGUACCUUCAAAUGAGCACAUACCUUGACAUGAUUUUGAAGGUGUUCAAGAUGGAUCAGUGAAAGAAGGAGUUCUUGCCUGAGUUGUAAGGUAUAAAGUUAAGACUUAAAGCUCGACCACGGCAGAAGAGAGAGAAAGGACGAAGGUCGUCCCCUAUGCUUUAGACGUAGGCUCUACAGUAUGCUAUGCUGAGUACCGCACCUGAUGUGUGCCUUGCCACGUGUCUGGCAAGGGGGUACAAGAGUGAUCCAGGAAUGGAUCAUUGGACAGCGGUCAAAAUUGUCCUUGGAGUAAUAAGGACAUGUUUCUCGAUUAUGGAGGUGAUAAAGAGUUCGGCGUAAAGGGUUACGUCGAUGCAAGCUUUAACACCUAUCCGAAUGACUCUGAGUAGCAAACCGGAUACGUAUAGUGGAGCAACCAUUUGGAAUAGCUCCAAGUGGAGCGUGGAAGCAGCAUUUACAAUAUGACCUAGAGAUUUGCGAAGUACAUACGGAUUUGAAUGUUGCAGACCCGUUGACUAAAACCUCUCUCACAAGCAAAACAUGAUCAAACCCCAGAACUCAUUGAGUCUUAAUCACAUGAUGAUGUGAACUAGUUUAGUGACACUAGUAAACUCUUUGGAUGUUGGUCACAUGGCGAUGUGACCUGUGAGUGUUAAUCACAUGGCGAUGUGAACUAGAUUAUUGACUCUAGUGCAAGUGGGAGACUGUUGGAAAUAUGCACUAGAGGCAAUAAUAAAUUAUUUAUUAUUAUUAUAUUUCCUUGUUCAUGAUAAUCGUUUAUUAUCCAUGCUAUAAUUGUAUUGAUAGGAAACUCAGAUACAUGUGUGGAUACAUAGACAACACCAUGUCCCUAGUAAGCCUCUAGUUGAUUAGCUCGUUGAUCAAUAGAUGGUUACAGUUUCCUGGCCAUGGACAUUGGAUGUUGUUGAUAACGGGAUCACAUCAUUAGGAGAAUGAUGUGAUGGACAAGACCCAAUCCUAAGCCUAGCACAAAGAUCGUGUAGUUCGUAUGCUAAAGCUUUUCUAAUGUCAAGUAUCAUUUCCUUAGACCAUGAGAUUGUGCAACUCCCGGAUACCGUAGGAAUGCUUUGGGUGUACCAAACGUCACAACGUAACUGGGUGGCUAUAAAGGUACACUACGGGUAUCUCUGAAAGUGUCUGUUGGGUUGGCACGAAUCGAGACUGGGAUUUGUCACUCCGUGUGACGGAGAGGUAUCUCUGGGCCCACUCGGUAGGACAUCAUUAUAAUGUGCACAAUGUGACCAAGGGGUUGAUCACGGGAUGAUGUGUUACGGAAUGAGUAAAGAGACUUGCCGGUAACGAGAUUGAACAAGGUAUCGGGAUACCGGCGAAUCUCGGGCAAGUACUAUACCACUAGACAAAGGGAAUUGAAUACGUGAUUGAUUGAAUCCUCGACAUCGUGGUUCAUCCGAUGAGAUCAUCGUGGAACAUGUGGGAGACAACAUGGGUAUCCAUAUCUCGCUAUUGGUUAUUGGCCGGAAAGUUGUCUCGGUCAUGUCUACGUGUCUCUCGAACCCGUAGGGUCUACACACUUAAGGUUUGAUGAUGCUAGGGUUAUGGGGAAUAGAUGUAUGUGGUUACCGAAUGUUGUUCGAAGUCCCGUACGAGAUCCAGGACGUCACGAGGAGUUCCGGAAUGGUCCGGAGGUAAAGAUUUAUAUAUGGGAAGUCCUGCUUUGGUCAUCGGAAAAGUUUCGGGUGCUAUCGGUAACGUACCGGGACCACCGGGAGGGUCCUGGGGGUCCACCAGGUGGGGCCACCUGCCCCAGAAGGCUGCGUGGGCCAAGUUUGGGAGGGGACCAGCUCCAAGUGGGCUGGUGCGCCACCCUAGGUGCGCCCUCCCUCUCUCCCCCUCUGGUCGCCACCCAGAUGGGAUCUGGGGGCUGCCGCCACCCCUAGGGAGGGAACCCUAGGUGGGGGCGCAGCCCCUCCUCACCCCCUAUAUAUACUUGAGGUUUGGGGGUUGCCCAUAACAUGAUUUGAUCUCCCUCUUGGUGCAGCCCUACCCCUCUCCCUCCUCGUCUCUUGCGGUGCUUGGAUAAGCCCUGCUGGAGUACCACGCUCCUCCACCACCACCACGCCGUUGUGCUGCUGCUGGACGGAGUCUUCCCCAACCUCUCCCUCUCUCCUUGCUGGAUCAAGGCAUGGAAGACGUCACCGGGCUGCAUGUGUGUUGAACGUGGAGGUCCCGUCCGUUCGGCACUAGGAUCAUCGGUGAUUUGGAUCACGACGAGUAUGACUCCAUCAACCCCGUUCACUGGAACGCUUCCGCUUAGCAAUCUACAAGGGUAUGUAGAUGCACUCCCCUUUCCCCGUUGCUAGAUUACUUCAUAGAUUGAUCUUGGUGUUGCGUAGAAAAAUUUGAAUUUCUGCUAUGUUCCCCAACAGUGGUAUCAGAGCUAGGUCUAUGCGUAGUUUCUAUGCAUGAGUAGAACACAAAGCAGUUGUGGGUGUCGAUAUUGUCAAUUUACUUGCCGUUACUAGUCUUAUCUUGAUUCGGCGGCAUCGUGGGAUGAAGCGGCCCGGACCGACCUUACACGUACACUUACAUGAGACAGGUUCCACCGACUGACAUGCACUUGUUGCAUAAGGUGGCUAGCGGGUGCCAGUCUCUCCCACUUUAGUCGGAUCGGAUUCGAUGAAAAGGGUCCUUAUGAAGGGUAAAUAACAAUUGACAUAUCAUGUUGUGGUUUUUGCGUAGGUAGGAAACGUUCUUGCUAGAAACCCAUAGCAGCCACGUAAAACAUGCAAACAACAAUUAGAGGACGUCUAACUUGUUUUUGCAGGGUAUGCUAUGUGAUGUGAUAUGGCUGAAAAGAAUGUGAUGAAUGAUAUGUGUUGUAUGAGAUUGAUCAUGUUCUUGUAAUAGGAAUCACGACUUGCAUGUCGAUGAGUAUGACAACCGGCAGGAGCCAUAGGAGUUGUCUUAAUUUAUUGUAUGACCUGCGUGUCAUUGAACAAUGCCAUGUAAUUACUUUACUUUAUUGCUAAACCGUUGGCCAUAGUAGUAGAAGUAAUAGUUGGCGAGACUACUUCAUGGAGACACGAUGAUGGAGAUCAUGAUGAUGGAGAUCAUGGUGUCAUGCCGGUGACGAUGAUGAUCAUGGAGCCCCGAAGAUGGAGAUCAAGAGGAGCAAAAUGAUAUUGGCCAUAUCAUGUCACUUUUGAUUGCAUGUGAUGUUUAUCAUGUUUAUGCAUGUUCUUUGCUUAGAACGAUGGUAGUAAAUAAGAUGAUCCCUUAUUAAAAUUUCAAGAAAGUGUCCCCCCUAACUGUGCACCGUUGUGAAGGUUCGUUGUUUCGAAGCACCACGUGAUGAUCGGGUGUGAUAGAUUCUAACAUUCGAAUACAACGGGUGUAAGCCAGAUUUACACACGCAAUACACCUAGGUUGACUUGACGAGCCUAGCAUGUACAGACAUGGCCUCGGAACACGGAAGACCGAAAGGUCGAGCAUGAGUCGUCUAGAAGAUACGAUCAACAUGAAGAUGUUCACCGACGUUGACUAGUCCGUCUCACGUGAUGAUCGGACACGGCCUAGUUGAAUCGGAUCAUGUAAUCCCUUAGAUGACUAGAGGGAUGUCUAUCUGAGUGGGAGUUCAUAAGAUGAACUUAAUUAUCCUGAACAUAGUCAAAAGAUCUUUGCAAAUUAUGUCGUAAGCUCGCGCUUUAGUUCUACUGUUUAGAUAUGUUCCUAGAGAAUAUUCAGUUGAAAGUUGAUAGUAGCGAUUAUGCGGACUAGGUCCGUAAACUGAGGAUUGUCCUUGUUGCUUUGAAGAAGGCUUAUGUCCUUAAUGCACCGCUCAGUGUGCUGAACCUCGAACGUCGUCUAUGGAUGUUGCAAACAUCUGACACACACGUUUUGAUAACUACGUGAUAGUUCAGUAAUGUUAAACGGUUUAGAGUAGAGGCACCGAAGACGAUUUCAAAACAUCGCAAAACAUAUGAGAUGUUUUGAGGGCUGAAAUUGGGAUUUCAGGCUCGUGCCCACGUCAAGAGGUAUAAGACCUCCGACGAGUUUCUUAGCCUACAAACUAAGGGAGAAAAGCUCAAUCGUUGAGCUUGUGCUCAGAUUGUCUGAGUACCACAAUCACUUGAAUCAAGUGGGAGUUAAUCUUCCAGAUGAGAUAGUGAUGUUUUUCCAAAGUCAUUGCCACCAAGCUGCUAGAGCUUCGUGAUGAACUAUAACAUAUCAGGGAUAGAUAUGAUGAUUCUUGAGAGAUUCGCGAUGUUUGACACCGCGAAAGUAGAAAUCAAGAAGGAGCAUCAAUUGUUGAUGGUUGGUGAAACCACUAGUUUCAAGAAGGGCAAGGGCAAGAAGGGAUACUUCAUUAAACGGCAAAUCAGCAGUUGCUCUAGUGAAGAAACCCAAAGUUUGAACCCAAACCCAAGACUAAGUGCUUCUGUAAUUAAUAAGGGGAACUGUCACUAGAGCAGAAUUACCCUAGAUACUUGGUAGAUGAGAAGGCUGGCAAGGUCGAUAGAAGUAUAUUGGAUAUACAUGUGUACUUUACUAGUACUCCUAGUAGCACCAGGGUAUUAGAUACCAGUUUGGUUGCUAAGUGCUAGUAACUCGAAAUAAAAGGCUGCAGAGUAAACGGAGACUAGCUAAAGGUGGGCUAGCGAUAUGUGUUGGAAGUGUUUUCCAAUCUUGAUGUGAUCAAGCAUCGCACGGUCCCUCUACCAUCAAUAUUGGUGUUAAACCUAAAUAAUUGUUAUUUGGUGUUUGCGUUGAGCAUAGACAUAAUUGGAUUAUGUCUAUCGCAAUACGGUUAUUCAUUUAAGGAGAAUAAUGGUUACUCUGUUUAUUUGAAUAAUACCUUCAAUGGUCUUGCACCUAAAAUGAAUGGUUUAUUGAAUCUCGAUCGUAGUGAUACACAUGUUCAUGCCAAAAGAUAUAAGAUAGUAAUGAUAGUACCACCUACUUGUGGCACUGCCAUGUAAUUCAUAUUGGUAUAAAACGCAUGAAGAAGCUCCAUGUUGAUGGAUCUUUGGACUCACUCAUUUUAGAAAAGUUUGAGACAUGCGAACCAUGUCUAUUGGUGUAUAUGCAUGAAGAAAUUCCAUGCAAAUGGACCGUUUGGACUCAGUUGAUUUUGAAUCUUGAGACAUGCAAAUCAUACCACAUGGGCAAGAUGACUGAAAGCCUCGUUUUCAGUAAAAUGGAACAAGAAAGCAACUUGUUGGAAGUAAUACAUUUUGAUGUGUUCAGUCCAAUGAGUGCUGAGGCACGCAGUGGAUAUCGUUAUGUUCUUACUUCACGGAUGAUUUGAGUAGAUACUGAGUAUAUUUACUUGAUGAAACAUAAGUCUAAAUUAUUGAAUGGUUCAAGUAAUUUUAGAGUGGAGUUGAAGAUCAUCGUGACAAGAGGAUAAAAUGUCUAUGAUAUGAUCAUAGGGAUGAGUAUCUGAGUUACGAGCUUUGGCACACAAUUAAGACAUUGUGGAAAUUGUUUCACAAUUAAUACCGCCUGGAACACCAUAGUGUGAUGGUGUGUCCGAACAUCAUAGUUCCACCCUAUUGGAUAUUGUGCGUACCAUGAUGUCUCUUAUCCAAUUACCACUAUCUUUCAUGGGUUAGGCAUUAGAGACAACCGCACUCACUUUAGUAGGGCACCACGUAAUUCCGUUGAGACGACACCAUUUGAACUAUGGUUUGGAGAAAUCUAAGUUGUCGUUUCUUAAAAGUUUGAACAUUGAGCAUCAAGAUCUAUAAGGAUAGAUCAAAACGCUUAAUGGUACUUUCAAAUGAGCACAUACCUUGACAUGAUCUUGAAGGUGUUCAAGAUGGAUCAGUCAAAGAAGGAGUUCUUGCCUGAGUUGUAAGGUAUGAAGUUAAGACUUAAAGCUCGACCACGGCAGAAGAGAGAGAAAGGACGAAGGUCGUCCCCUAUGCUUUAGACGUAGGCUCUACAGUAUGCUAUGCUGAGUACCGCACAUGAUGUGUGCCUUGCCACGUGUCUGGCAAGGGGGUACAAGAGUGAUCCAUGAAUGGAUCAUUGGACAACGGUCAAAAUUGUCCUUGGAGUAAUAAGGACAUGUUUCUCGAUUAUGGAGGUGAUAAAGAGUUCGGCGUAAAGGGUUACGUCGAUGCAAGCUUUAACACCUAUCCAAAUGACUCUGAGUAGCAAACCGGAUACGUAUAGUGGAGCAACCAUUUGGAAUAGCUCCAAGUGGAGCGUGGAAGCAGCAUUUACAAUAUGACCUAGAGAUUUGCGAAGUACAUACGGAUUUGAAUGUUGCAGACCCGUUGACUAAAACCUAUCUCACAAGCAAAACAUGAUCAAACCCCAGAACUCAUUGAGUCUUAAUCACAUGAUGAUGUGAACUAGUUUAGUGACACUAGUAAACUCUUUGGAUGUUGGUCACAUGGCGAUGUGACCUGUGAGUGUUAAUCACAUGGUGAUGUGAACUAGAUUAUUGACUCUAGUGCAAGUGGGAGACUGUUGGAAAUAUGCACUAGAGGCAAUAAUAAAUUAGUUAUUAUUAUUAUAUUUCCUUGUUCAUGAUAAUCGUUUAUUAUCCAUGCUAUAAUUGUAUUGAUAGGAAACUCAGAUACAUGUGUGGAUACAUAGACAACACCAUGUCCCUAGUAAGCCUCUAGUUGACUAGCUCGUUGAUCAAUAGAUGGUUACAGUUUCCUGACCAUGGACAUUGGAUGUCGUUGAUAACGGGAUCACAUCAUUAGGAGAAUGAUGUGAUGGACAAGACCCAAUCCUAAGCCUAGCACAAAGAUUGUGUAGUUCAUAUGCUAAAGCUUUUCUAAUGUCAAGUAUCAUUUCCUUAGACCAUGAGAUUGUGCAACUCCCGGAUACCGUAGGAAUGCUUUGGGUGUACCAAACGUCACAACGUAACUGGGUGUCUAUAAAGGUACACUACGGAUAUCUCCGAAAGUGUCUGUUGGGUUGGCACGAAUCGAGACUGGGCUUUGCCACUCCGUGUGACGAAGAGGUAUCUCUGGGCCCACUCGGUAGGACAUUAUUAUAAUAUGCACAAUGUGACCAAGGGGUUGAUCAGGGGAUGAUGUGUUACGGAACAAGAGACUUGCCGGUAACGAGAUUGAACAAGGUAUCGGGAUACCGACGAUCGAAUCUCGGGCAAGUACUAUACCGCUAGACAAAGGGAAUUGAAUACGGGAUUGAUUGAAUCCUCGACAUCGUGGUUCAUCCGAUGAGAUCAUCAUGGAACAUGUGGGAGCCAACAUGGGUAUCUAGAUCCCGCUGUUGGUUAUUGGCCGGAGAGUUGUCUCGGUCAUGUCUACGUGUCUCCCGAACCCGUAGGGUCUACACACUUAAGGUUCGAUGACGCUAGGGUUAUAGGGAAUAGAUGUACGUGGUUACUGAAUGUUGUUCGGAGUCCCAGAUGAGAUCUAGGACGUCACGAGGAGUUCCGGAAUGGUCCGGAGGUAAAGAUUUAUAUAUGGGAAGUCCUGCUUUGGUCACCGGAAAAGUUUCGGGUGCUAUUGGUAACGUACCGGGACCACCGGGAGGGUCCCGGGGGUCCACCAGGUGGGGCCACCAGCCCCAGAAGGCUGCAUGGGCCAAGUGUGGGAGGGGACCAGCUCCAGGUGGGCUGGUGAGCCCCUCACCAAGGCCCAAGGCGCAGGGAGAGUGGGAGGGGGCAAACCCUAGGUCCAGAUGGGCCCUAAGGCCCACCCUAGGUGCGCCCUCCCUCUCUCCCCCUCUGGCCGCCACCUAGAUGGGAUCUGGGGGCUUCCGCCACCCCUAGGGGGGAACCCUAGGUGGGGGUGCAUCCCCUCCUCUCCCCCUAUAUAUACUUGAGGUUUGGGCGCUGCCCAUAACAUGAUUUGAUCUCCCUCUUGGCGCAGCCCUACCCCUCUCCCUCCUCGUCUCUUGCGGUGCUUGGCGAAGCCCUGCUGGAGUACCACACUCCUCCACCACCACCAUGUCGUUGUGCUGUUGCUGGACGGAGUCUUCCCCAACCUCUCCCUCUCUCCUUGCUGGAUCAAGGCAUGGGAGACGUCACCGGGCUGCAUGUGUGUUGAACGCGGUGGUGCCGUCCGUUCGGCACUAGGAUCAUCGGUGAUUUGGAUCACGACGAGUACGACUCCAUCAACUCCGUUCACUUGAACGCUUCCGCUUAGCGAUCUACAAGGGUAUGUAGAUGCACUCCCCUUUCCCCGUUGCUAGAUUACUCCAUAGAUUGAUCUUGGUGUUGCAUAGAAAAUUUUGAAUUUCUGCUACGUUCCCCAACACCUACUGCCACAACCUUCGGCGGUAGGACCUUAUCGCCACAGGCCCUGGCGGUAGUGGGUGCAACCCUACCGCUGAGCUGCUGACAGUUUUGUUCACAGCAACCUAAACCCACAGGACCCUACCGCCAAGCCAUAGGGCGGUAUGGUCAGGCAACCUACCGCCAAGACCUGCGGUGUUAGGGUGUCGCGCUGGCCAUUAGGUAACGGCAGUGGGUCGUCCAUGCCACCGCCAGAAGCCCUGGAGGUAGCCUGCGUGACCCUACCGCCGAGUCGUUUGGCGGUAGCAAAAGGGUCGGAUGUCGAAUUUUUUUUCAAAGGGGGGUCAGAUCCCGAUUUUAUACCACAAAAGGGUCAAAACACAAAAUUUGACCCCUCCCGGAGCAUCGUGAAGCUAUACCGGAGCUUUUUGGCCUCUGCUUCAAGUGCUUUUGGGAGGGGCAUAACGAGUUGGAUUGCACCUUUUAUACCUUGUGUAUCCGUUGCAGCGCAUGUUGAAAAUAUGAGCAAUUUAUCAAAUGAUUUUAUUAACAGAAAUAUUAGAUAAAGCAUGACUAAUAUAGCAGAGAUAAAACGAGUCAUGCAAUGUAACACAGAGAAGGUAAAUAGCAUCUGCAUAUAUGAUCUAGAACCACACAUAUCUAGAGCAGACACUAGAGUAAGAAACUAUGGCAGAACCUCAAAUAGAAAGAGCAUGAACACGUACGAUACAACAGCAGAAGCAAUGGUCUUGGGGUCGACAUCCUCGCCAGCCAUGUCGUCGAAGAGGUUGUCGAUGUCGGGAAAGAAGUCGUCGUUGGGGAAGUGGUCUGUCCGGAGUGUCCGUGGUGAACCGGUCAGUAGUCGCGCAGAGCGCUCCCCCAAAACCUUAUCACCCUUCUCCCGUACAAGACUUAAAGGGAUGGGGUUUCGGAGACCUACUGUCCCGACCUGCGGUGCACGCCACAAGCCGGGAUGGGGAAGAUCGUAGAAGCAACUCAGAGAUUGGAACUCGGUGGCGGGCGGAGGAGGAGGAGCGCGCAUGAAUGUCCCUCUUGUUCUCAUGUUCAUACAUGUGGGGUAACAACCUCCCUUAUAAGGAGGUCCAACUCCUAUCCAACUAGCAAGGUGGGACUAAACUUUGGUUGCACCUCUUGCCUUGCACGAAUGGGCUGCGCGGGCCUCUAGGAUUUAUUAGGAAUUCUGAAUGUGCUAUUGGGCUGGCCCAGAAUAGACUAAAUUCCAGCAAUCCCCCACCAGAUCCCAGAGGCACACAAAAUUUGCCUUUGGUUUCAAAACACUGUUUUAUAUACAAGCACUGAGUUGUACAUCAUGGAACGAUUCUAUGACUACAGGAUGACUGAUGAGCGCUCUGUGGUAGCAAGUUCACAAGAUACAGCCAUUUACUAAAGAACUUGAGCACUUCAAUUGUAUGUUACUAGACAAAUUUGUUGUCGAAGGCAUCAUCACUAAGCUUCCUCUUCCUCCAUCACUCACCAGUUAUGGAUAGGACAUGGAGCGUGGGCUUCGGCUCACUGUGGUGUUUUAUGUGGGUGGUGCAAGGCCACCGGUGUAAUGCUCCAAGCCAGCGGAGGAGAAUUUCUUGAUGGUGUUAGGCCAACUCCAACGGACGUCUGUUUUGUCCAGAUUUCGCUCGUUUGAGUAGGGAAAUGGGGUGGCAUCUGAUCAUUUUCAUGCAUGCGCCGGUCGUGCACCCAACGCGUAUACGCAUCUGGUCCGCCACGGUCGGCUAGUGCCGGUAUGUAUACAUUUUUUUGGCCGCAUUUAUUUUAUUAUUUCAGCAACGAUAUUUUGAUACACUGGAGUACAUUCACCAAUUCUUGACUAGAUGAGCAAGACAAAAGAAAACAAGAGCCAUAAUUAGACAUUUUAAAGAUAUCCAAUUUUCAUGACUGCUCCUGCAAGUUGGAUUAGUAUUUUCUGGAUGCCGUUGUUGUUGAUCCGCGGCUUCUCGUUUUUGCAUACUUCUUUCUUAUUCGAUUAUAAAGAAGCAGGCGUUGCUUCACAUAUAGUCUUAUCUCUAACUUUUGUUCUAGCAACGAAUGCAUAAGCAUCUAUCAAUUUUGUCCUAUCAAUAUAUCGAUGUAUUAUUCUUCCUAAUACCAAAACUUUAUCCGUCCUACACAUAAAUUUGAGUAUAAGCAAAGAGCUAUUGAAAAUGUGCUGAAUCCGAAAGCACAACCGAAGCAAAACAAGCACAUACCCCGUCGUUUUUGCACUUGAUGAACACCCAUCCGGGAUGUUCCGGCGUUGUAGAUAUGCGGCGCGCGACCAGACGCAGGCAGUCGCCACACUUUAUGAGUGGUCACGGUGAGCCGACGAGCCACUGGGCCAGCACCGAGUCCGGACGACGGUCGGGCAUGUAUUUGCCGGUGAAGCUCCGACGAGAUAUAUCCGAGCGGCUAGACGCGGAGUCAAUACAUGCAUGCGGCGUGGAGGCGUUGCCUGUCUGCGUGUUAAGAUACUAGGCCAAUCCAUGGCAAGGCGCAGCCUCCGGUGGCCGGACGCGCUCAAAUCCGGCGGCCGGGCUGGACAGUGAGGUAGCCGAGAAAAUGGCGGCGGCUAUGGCGGGGGUUGGGGCCUGAAGUCGACCGAGCUAGACAGCGAGGUGGCCGAGAAAAUGGCGGCGCCAUAGGGGGCGAAGGGAAUGGGAAUAGAAAAAGGGGUGUUUGUGCCGUCGAUGGGCGGGCGAGGGGAGGACAAGGGCACACAUCCCACCCGUUCGCGGGUGUUUGUUUCGAUACAAACAGUUUGGCCGGUAAUGGGUCGAAAAUGGGACGGCAAACGAACGUUUGUCCGUUUACUUCCACGUGUGAGGCAUUUUACUUCGCACGUGGGGCCCUCUUUUGUGUCCGUUUAAGACGCUAACAAACCAUUUGGCUCAGUGCGUUGGAGUUGGCUUUAGCCUCCCAGAGUGCGGAACACCUUCUCCUGGAGUACAGGUGAUAAUAUCAAAUCCAGCUAUGGUAUGCCUAGGCUUACUCUCGAAAAAAAAUAUUAAGAAGUAAACAGAUAGAAUAAACACAAAACAUUCAGGUAACGACCAAAUCAGUUCAUCACAUUAUACUCGAGUAAAUCAACGAAAGCAGAACAUAAACAAACAAAUGCCUAUCCCAUGUGAGCGUAUUUUCAAGUUCUUACAAGAAGUUAAACUCAAGGAUAAGCACACAAAAUUUGAGGAGAUCAGACAAGCAAAAAUUCCACAAUUUCUUUUCAAGGAUAAGCACAAAAAAUUCACGGAACAGUAAGCAAAAAUCAUCACAACCUGUAACUGCCAGUUCACCAACUCCAUGACGUCAAACUCGAGGAGACCAGUCAAAUUUUCAGAGAGUUGGCAUGAAUGACCAGCCUUUUACAGAAAGCUUAAAGCAAUACAGAUCAAGGACGGGAAAAGAUAAAAAGGCUUAAGACAAUCAACACAGUUCUUGAUCGAUUUCACCACCAAAUUAGUCCAGCACGCCAAACUUAGAAGAUCAACAAGGUUUCAUGACCAAAUUCGCCACCAAAUCAGUUCAUCAUAUGCCAAACUUGAGGAAAUCAACAGAAUUUCAUGACCAAUUUCACCACCAAAGCAAGUUCAUCAUAUGCCGAAACUAGAGCAAAUUUGACAGAGUUCGCGACCAACUUCACCAUCAGACCACUACCUACUGGAUCCAAGACGAUCAACGAAGCAAAACAAGGAGAAAGACACCAAACAUGCCCACAUCAACAAGGCGUCUCUCACACUCUCGCGUCGGCCAUCCUCCAUGAGCACUACCACGACGGCACUGCCUACUCGACCUUGACGUGGAAGACGUCCGUGCGCUCCUCCUCCUUGACCUUGAGCAGGGUGACCCAGAGCACGCCAUUCUUCAUCUCGGCCUUGAUCUUGUCCAUCUUGUACGCGUCAGCAGCGGGCAUCUCGAUGCGGCGGUUGUACUUUGGCACCGCGGAGUCGUCGUCGCCGUCCCAGGGCUGCUUCUCGCCCUCGCCCUCGAUCACCAGGAUGUUCUUGUCCGCGCGCACCUUCACGUGCUCCUUGGUCAGCCCCGGCAUCGGCACCUUGAGGUACACCGCGUCGUCGUCCUCCUUGGCCACCCACCGUCCGAGCCGCGACGCCCCAGCACCAGCAGUGGAGGAGAGGCCGCCGGUCUUAGUUGCGACGUCCUCCAUCAGAGACAGCAGACGGGCCAUGCUGGGGGGUUUUGUAAAGGAGGAGCGGGAAAGCUUUCUUGGGGGAGGGGGAUUCCUAACUGGGUUUAGAAGGUUCUGGGGAGAUCGGAUGAGGCCUCGAGCCUUCCAGAACGAUCGGGAGACCACAGCUUUAGGAUUCGCGCUGCUUGAUGUACCACGACCGGAGGCCAUGGAUGAAGAAGGUAAUUAUUGAUCUGCUGUGGUGCGCAAGGCAACAGAGGUUGCCGUACGACGGCUUAUGAGGCAACAGAGCUUCAUCUGCAAGGAAUAAACUACUCGGUUAUGAGCGAUUUGCUUUCUCUAGUGUGCUUGGUGCUGGGCAAUAAAGCAAUCAACACCCCCACACCAUUUUUUUAAAAUAAUUCUUGUGUUACUCAAUCAGCGUUUACAAUCAUGGUGGAUAACGUCCAAAAUAUCCUUUGAGCCAAAUCCAAGCCUAUCAAAUUUGCAAACGCGUGGCUAGAAGAAUUCUGAAUCAACACCAUUUCCUUGAGAACGGGAAAAUGACAAAUGUACACAUUGUGAAAAUGCAGGCAAUCGACCAAACAUGCUCUGACGUCAAGAUAUACAUGUCUUUAUUUAAUGGGCUAUUAUUUAAUACGAUUUCCGGCAAAACAAUAUAUUUUAUGUGUUUAAAGUGCAGAGUUUAUAACCAUGUUCCAACAACUUGAUGUCAUCGGACAUCACACAUUUCGGUGGACUCAUUACUCAUAAUAAUUAAAAAAAGUAAAAUAGCGUCUAUGUAUAUACUAUGUUUAAAAAACUGUAAAAUAGAGCAACCACACAGCUCUUUGGUUAAUUGGACCAGAGAGAUGUGACUAGGCCUCCGAUUCUUGGCUUGAUUGAUUUUAUUUUAUUUUUGAACAUAAGGAGUUUUAUAACUUUUAAGCACAUUUUACAUAAAGUAGCAUGAAUGGUGACACGCUAGAUACACAGAGAAUGUCCCUUCCUGGACAUAGACCUAUGUUUGGACAUAAGCACGUGAUUGUCAAUCUUGUGGACUGGAUUUUCCCUGCUAAUCUUGCUUGGUGUGUGCUUUGACAUUUGAGUUCAUGUGAAUACGUGAGAUCCUAUUGGCUUGGAAGGAAGCGUUGGCCUGUAUAUCCGCUAGAAGAGGUCUGGUUAUCAAGUGACCUAGUGCAUUCAUGAAAUUGCUCGCAGCCGCGGCUGAUGCCAAAACAGAGCAAUCAGUGUAGAAGACGGGCUCUUGCAGUUGUAAAAUCUCUGCUAGCUUGGUGGCAAGAAGAAGGCGAAGGCCUUAGCCUCCAGUGGUGAAGUAGCUGGAGGAGACAAGGCCGAGACAUAAAGCCGCUUGAAGUGUUGGUUGCUGUCCACCUUGAUGAAGAUGUCGAUGCCUGCUGGAGUUGGGUGCACAUUCUGAUCUGUCUUCCAAGCCACAUCACAGAAGAUGGCGUCACCUGCAAAACAAGAAAAGUUUUGAACCGUAGGUCCGGUAACAUGAGCCUGAUGCGUAUCAGUUGUAGUUGUUGGAGGUUGAUCUCCAUAGAGGGCCGAGUCUUCAAUUUUUGAUCCCUGAACAAUAGCAUUAGAAAUAGCAAAAACCUGGGUAGGCCCUAGACACCUCUUGUCAAAGAGACAAUCAUUUCUUGCUUUCCAAAGGCACCAAAGGAAAGUGUACAUGCUUAUGAUAUUGAUUUGAGGAUGACCCGAUGAAAGUAGAGCUUGUAUCAUGUCAGGAACAUAACGGUGAGAGGGAGCAAGAACUUCAGUUUUAAUAUACCAAGGAUGACAAUACCAUGUAAAUUUAGAAAAAGGGCAAAGAAAGAACCUGUGCAUUUCAUUUCCCAAACAGCCACUCGGGCUCAAUAUGGUUCGAAAAUUUACUUGCACGUUUACCUGUGGGGGUGCCUUUCGAAGAAGCCUCUAGGCAAAAGUGUGUACCCGAGGCGCCAUGGACUUCACCUACCAAACCUGAUUUAAAAGAGAAAUUAUCUGUGAAGAGACCACACUGGGUCGCUGAUUUGCACGCAGGGCGAGAUGGUUGAAACAAUGCUUGUACGGACUCUUAGAGGUACAGUCACGUGCGGGGGUUAUUUUCCACACCAAAAUGCCCCGCCCAUCUGAAUUUAUAAUUGGAGUUUGAAGGAUAGCAUUGGCUGUUUGAGAGCUAAACUGAGAAAUCACUAAUUAUGCAUUCCAAGCCUUUUGGUUAUUAGCCAAAGAUCCUUAACUAUAUCAGGAUAAACAAAGGAUGGAAUCUGAAUGGUAAGAUUUUCGUAAAUGGUUUCCCACCCAUGGAACCAAGUACUCCAUAUAAAACUGCUACCAUCAAUAAUUUGGUAAAAAGAACUACUGAAGUUAAAAGUGGUUUUACCUUGAGGAGGGUAGCCCCAAAAGCAUAUUUAGGCUUGUCUGACUUUGCUCUCCAAAUAGAAGUAUCAUGAUGGUACUUGGCUUUGCGGAUUAACGCAAGUUGGCUCUAUGAUUCUCUAGCUAACAUCCAUGCAGCCGAGAGGAUAAGACCUUGAUUUACAACUUGCAAAUUUCGAACGCCUAGUCACAAAUUUUCUUUUCUAUGCAAAUGUCAGUCCAUGCCCGUAGGCACAAGCUUUUUGUGAUAGCCUCAUCUUUAACUCCUGUCCACAAAAAAAAACAUGAUGAUAGACGUGAGCUUUGCAAGAAAUUUCUAGGAAAAAAUGUUAGACAUGUAAUAGACAUGUAUAGAGGCAAAGACAGAUUUAUUGAGGGUAAGCCUAGCAGCAUGUGAGAUCCUGUUAGCUUUGUAGGCAGUUAAUUUUUUCUUGUAUAUGUCAUAAACACAGUUGUAAGCAGCAGGUCUGUCUUUAGCAGGAAGAAUAAGAGGGUGACCAAGGUGGAUAGUGGUGUUAUCUGAAUCUGGAACCUGAAGAUCUGUUUGACAUCCUGCUUCACCUGCAAAGGCACAUUUUUGCUAAAUAAAAUGGAAGAUUUAUUCCACUUGGAACUUGACCUGAAGCAUGACAAAAUGGAUCUGAAAUGUUGGAGAUGGCCAAAGCAUCCUGCACAUUAGCCUUUCCACAAACCAACAAAUAAUCAGCAAACAUUAGAGAAUGAAUUCCAGGGUAGUUUGAUCCAAGACAGAUACGUGAUAGAUGGUUGGCUUGUAAAGAUUCCGGUUGGGUUAGGGAGAGCUCAUUCACCGCAAGAACAAAGAGAUAAGGGGACAGGGGACAUCCGUGUCCUAUAACUCUACUACUUCUGAAGCGAGCAUAAGAUGGCAUGAUUGAUUUUUGUGCUUGCUUCGAGUGGACACUAAACUUAACUGUUUCCACCUCUAAACAGAUUUUGUGUUACACACUUGGCUAGAAGAAAAAAACAUACGCCUGUGCAGUUCAAAAAAGAAGAAGCAUACGCAUGCAAAUUAUACUAAAACUUUUUCUAAAAACCAAGAGAAUAGGUUGUACAAUUUCCUAUCAUCUCAGGACAGUAGAUAUGGAACAUAGUUGACACAUGUGACUAUUUUAAAAUUUAUAGUUUAACCAUAUAAAACGGACAAAUCGUAUAUUCCGUAUUUAUUGUGUUAUAUGCUUAUAACAUAUUAGAUAAAUGCAUCAAACAUGGAUGGGCGUGGCAACGCGCAAUCGUGAUCUCAUGUAUUAUUAUUAUUAUUAUUAUUAUUAUUAUUAUUAUUAUUAUUAUUAUUAUUAUUAUUAUUAUUAGAAGGGUUGGUGUUGUUAGGAUUUCAUAAAUAGAAUCAAUUAUUUGGUGGGGGUAAUGAAUUGUGUUUUUUUCAUAAUACAAUAUUUUUAUUGCCUCUUUUGGAGGUAUAGUUAUGUGUUAUUUGCAAAUUAAUCCACAUGUAUGUAGGGAAGUGUCUUGUAAUAGUGACCACAUUUAGUAUAUGCAGGAAAUAUGCCCUAGAGGUAAUAAUAAAGUUAUUAUUUAUUUCCUUAUUUCGUGAUAAAUGUUUAUUAUUCAUGCUAGAAUUGUGUAUUUGUCAUAAACACAGUUGUAAGCAGCAGAUCUGUCUUUAGCAGGAAGAAUAAGAGGGUGACCAAGGUGGAUAGUGGUGUUAUCUGAAUCUGGAACCUGAAGAUCUUUUUGACAUCCUGCUUCACCUGCAAAGGCACAUUUUUGCUAAAUCAAAUGGAAGAUUUAUUCCACUUGGAACUUGACCUGAAGCAUGACAAAAUGGAUCUGAAAUGUUGGAGAUGGCCAAAGCUUCCUGCACAUUAGCCUUUCCACAAACCAACAAAUAAUAAGCAAACAUUAGAGAAUGAAUUCCAGGGUAGUUUGAUCCAAGACAGAUACGUGAUAGGUGGUUGGCUUGUAAAGAUUCCGGUUGGGUUAGGGAGAGCUCAUUCACCGCAAGAACAAAGAGAUAAGGGGACAGGGGACAUCCGUGUCCUAUAACUCUACUACUUCUGAAGCGAGCAUAAGAUGGCAUGAUUGAUUUUUGUGCUUGCUUCGAGUGGACACUAAACUUAACUAUUUCCACCUCUAAACAGAUUUUGUGCUACACACUUGGCUAGAAGAAAAAAAACAUACGCGUGUGCAGUUCAAAAAAGAAGAAGCAUACGCAUGCAAAUUAUACUAAAACUUUUUCUAAAAACCAAGAGAAUAGGUUGUAUAAUUUCCUAUCAUCUCGGGAUAGUAGAUAUGGAACAUAGUUGACACAUGUGACUAUUUUAAAAUUUAUAGUUUAACCAUAUAAAACGGAUAAAUCGUAUAUUCCGUAUUUAUUGUGUUAUAUGCUUAUAACAUAUUAGAUAAAUGCAUCAAACAUGGAUGGGCAUGGCAACGCGCAAUCGUGAUCUCAUGUAUUAUUAUUAUUAUUAUUAUUAUUAUUAUUAUUAUUAUUAUUAUUAUUAUUAUUAUUAUUAUUAUUAUUAUUAUUAUUAUUAUUAUUAUUAUUAUUAUUAGAAGGGUUGGUGUUGUUAGGAUUUCAUAAAUAGAAUCAAUUAUUUGGUGGGGGUAAUGAAUUGUGUUUUUUUUCAUAAUACAAUAUUUUUAUUGCCUCUUUUGGAGGUAUAGUUAUGUGUUAUUUGCAAAUUAAUCCACAUGUAUGUAGGGAAGUGUCUUAUAAUAGUGACCACAUUUAGUAUAUGCAGGAAAUAUGCCCUAGAGGUAAUAAUAAAGUUAUUAUUUAUUUCCUUAUUUCAUGAUAAAUGUUUAUUAUUCAUGCUAGAAUUGUGUAUUUGUCACAAACACAGUUGUAAGCAGCAGAUCUGUCUUUAGCAGGAAGAAUAAGAGGGUGACCAAGGUGGAUAGUGGUGUUAUCUGAAUCUGGAACCUGAAGAUCUUUUUGACAUCCUGCUGCACCUGCAAAGGCACAUUUUUGCUAAAUCAAAUGGAAGAUUUAUUCCACUUGGAACUUGACCUGAAGCAUGACAAAAUGGAUCUGAAAUGUUGGAGAUGGCCAAAGCUUCCUGCACAUUAGCCUUUCCACAAACCAACAAAUAAUAAGCAAACAUUAGAGAAUGAAUUCCAUGGUAGUUUGAUCCAAGACAGAUACGUGAUAGGUGGUUGGCUUGUAAAGAUUCCGGUUGGGUUAGGGAGAGCUCAUUCACCGCAAGAACAAAGAGAUAAGGGGACAGGGGACAUCCGUGUCCUAUAACUCUACUACUUCUGAAGCGAGCAUAAGAUGGCAUGAUUGAUUUUUGUGCUUGCUUCGAGUGGACACUAAACUUAACUAUUUCCACCUCUAAACAGAUUUUGUGCUACACACUUGGCUAGAAGAAAAAAAACAUACGCCUGUGCAGUUCAAAAAAGAAGAAGCAUACGCAUGCAAAUUAUACUAAAACUUUUUCUAAAAACCAAGAGAAUAGGUUGUAUAAUUUCCUAUCAUCUCGGGAUAGUAGAUAUGGAACAUAGUUGACACAUGUGACUAUUUUAAAAUUUAUAGUUUAACCAUAUAAAACGGACAAAUCGUAUAUUCCGUAUUUAUUGUGUUAUAUGCUUAUAACAUAUUAGAUAAAUGCAUCAAACAUGGAUGGGCAUGGCAACGCGCAAUCGUGAUCUCAUGUAUUAUUAUUAUUAUUAUUAUUAUUAUUAUUAUUAUUAUUAUUAUUAUUAUUAUUAUUAUUAUUAUUAUUAUUAUUAGAAGGGUUGGUGUUGUUAGGAUUUCAUAAAUAGAAUCAAUUAUUUGGUGGGGGUAAUGAAUUGUGUUUUUUUUCAUAAUACAAUAUUUUUAUUGCCUCUUUUGGAGGUAUAGUUAUGUGUUAUUUGCAAAUUAAUCCACAUGUAUGUAGGGAAGUGUCUUAUAAUAGUGACCACAUUUAGUAUAUGCAGGAAAUAUGCCCUAGAGGUAAUAAUAAAGUUAUUAUUUAUUUCCUUAUUUCAUGAUAAAUGUUUAUUAUUCAUGCUAGAUUUGUGUAUUUGUCACAAACACAGUUGUAAGCAGCAGAUCUGUCUUUAGCAGGAAGAAUAAGAGGGUGACCAAGGUGGAUAGUGGUGUUAUCUGAAUCUGGAACCUGAAGAUCUUUUUGACAUCCUGCUGCACCUGCAAAGGCACAUUUUUGCUAAAUCAAAUGGAAGAUUUAUUCCACUUGGAACUUGACCUGAAGCAUGACAAAAUGGAUCUGAAAUGUUGGAGAUGGCCAAAGCUUCCUGCACAUUAGCCUUUCCACAAACCAACAAAUAAUAAGCAAACAUUAGAGAAUGAAUUCCAGGGUAGUUUGAUCCAAGACAGAUACGUGAUAGGUGGUUGGCUUGUAAAGAUUUCGGUUGGGUUAGGGAGAGCUCAUUCACCGCAAGAACAAAGAGAUAAGGGGACAGAGGACAUCCGUGUCCUAUAACUCUACUAUUUUUGAAGCGAGCAUAAGAUGGCCUGAUUGAUUUCUGUGCUUGCUUCGAGUGGACACUAAACUUAACUGUUUCCACCUCUAAACAGAUUUUGUGCUACACACUUGGCUAGAAGAAAAAAACAUACGCCUGUGCAGUUCAAAAAAGAAGAACCAUACGCAUGCGAAUUAUACUAAAACUUUUUCUAAAAACCAAGAGAAUAGGUUGUACAAUUUCCUAUCAUCUCGGGACAGUAGAUAUGGAACAUAGUUGACACAUGUGACUAUUUUAAAAAUUAUAGUUUAACCAUAUAAAACAGACAAAUCGUAUAUUCCGUAUUUAUUGUGUUAUAUGCUUAUAACAUAUUAGAUAAAUGCAUCAAACAUGGAUGGGCGUGGCUACGCGCAAUCAUGAUCUCAUGUAUUAUUAUUAUUAUUAUUAUUAUUAUUAUUAUUAUUAUUAUUAUUAUUAUUAUUAUUAUUAUUAUUAUUAUUAUUAUUAUUAUUAUUGUUAUUAUUAGAAGGGUUGGUGUUGUUAGGAUUUCAUAAAUAGAAUCAAUUAUUUGGUGGGGGGUAAUGAAUUGUGUUUUUUGCAUAAUACGAUAUUUUUAUUGCCUCUUUUGGAGGUAUAGUUAUGUGUUAUUUGCAAAUUAAUCCACAUGUAUGUAGGGAAGUGUCUUGUAAUGGUGACCACAUUUAGUAUAUGCAGGAAAUAUGCCCUAGAGGCAAUAAUAAAGUUAUUAUUUAUUUCCUUAUUUCAUGAUAAAUGUUUAUUAUUCAUGCUAGAGUUGUAUUAACCGGAAACUUAGUACAUACUGAAUACAUAGACAAAACAGAUUGUCCUAUUAUGCCUCUACUUGACUAGCUCGUUAAUCAAAGAUGGUUAUGUUUCCUAACCAUAGACAUGUGUUGUCAUUUGAUGAACGAGAUCACAUCAUUAGGAGAAUGAUGUGAUGGACAUGACCCAUUCGUUAGCUUAGCAUUAUGAUCGUUACAGUUUCAUUGCUACUGCUUUCUUCAUGAGUUAUACAUGUUCCUCAGACUAUGAAAUUAUGCAAUUCCCGAAUACCAGAGGAACACUUUAUGUGCUACCAAACGUUACAAUGUAAAAGGGUGAUUAUAAAGGUGCUCUACAGGUGUCUCCGAAGGUGUUUGUUGGGUUGGCAUAGAUAGAGAUUAGGAUUUGUCACUCCGUGUUUCGGAGAGGUAUCUCUGGGCCCUCUCGGUAAUGCUCAUCACUAUAAGCCUUGCAAGCAUUGUGACUAAUGAGUUAGUUACGGGAUGAAGUAUUAUGGAACGAGUAAAGAGACUUGCCGGUAAUGAGAUUGAACUAGGUAAGAUGAUACAUACGAUCAAAUCUUGGGCAAGUAACAUGCCGAUGACAAAGGGAACAACGUAUGUUGUUAUGCGGUUUGACCGAUAAUGAUCUUCGUAGAAUAUGUAGGAGCCAAUAUGAGCAUCCAGGUUCCGCUAUUGGUUAUUGACCGAAGAUGUGUCUCGAUCAUGUCUACAUAGUUCUCGAACCCGUAGGGUCCGCACGCUUACCGUUCAAUGACGAUAUGUAUUAUGAGUUAUGUGUUUUUUAUGACCGAAGUUUGUUUGGAGUCCCGGAUGAGAUCACGGAUGUAAUGAGGAGUCUCCAAAUGGUCGAGACAUAAAGAUUGAUAUAUUGGACGGCUAUAUUCGGACACCGGAAGUGUUGCGGAAAGUUUCGGGUAAAACCGGAGUGCCGGAGGGGUUACCGGAACCCCCCGAGGAAUCAAUGGGCCACAUUGAGCCUUGGUGGAGAGAGAGAGGGGCGGCCAUGGCAGGCCGCGCGGCCCCUCCCCCUUGGGUCCGAAUUGGACUAGGGAAGGGGGGCGGUGCCCCCCUUUCCUACUCCCUCUCCCUCUCCUUCCUUCCCCCUCUCUCCCUCUUGGUGGAAUCCUACUAGGACUAGUAGUCCUAGUAGGACUCCCGUCUUGGGGCGCGCCCUUGGGGUCGGUCGGACUCCCCCUUGCUCCUUUAUAUACGGGGGCAGGGGCACCCUAGAACACACAAGUUUCUCUCCCAACCGUGUGCGGUGCCCCCCUCCACAGUUACACACCUCGAUCAUACCAUCGUAGUGCUUAGGCGAAGCCUUGCGUCGGUAGCAUCAUCAUCACCAUUGCCACGCCUUUGUGCUGACGGAACUCACCCUCAUCCUCAACUGGAUCAAGAGCAUGAGGGACGUCAUCGAGCUGAACGUGUGCUGAACGCGGAGGUGUCGUACGUUCGGUACUUGGAUCGGUUGGAUCGCGAAGAAGGUUGACUACAUCAACCGCGUUAUUGAUAAGCUUCCGCUUUCGAUCUACGAGGGUACAUGGACACACUCUCCCCUCUCGAUUCUAUGCAUCACCUAGAUAGAUCUUGUGUGAUCGUAGGAAACUUUUGGAAAUUACCGUGUUCCCCGAUAGUGGCAUCCGAGCGAGGUCUAUGCGUAGAUGUUAUAUGCACGAGUAGAACACAAAGAGUUGUGGGCGAUAAUAGUCAUACUGCUUACCACCAACGUCUUACUUUGAUUCCGCGGUAUUGUUGGAUGAAGCGGCCCGGACCGACAUUACAUGACUGCAUUCAUGAGACUGGUUCUACCGACGUGCUUUUGCACAUAGGUGGCUGGCGGGUGUCUGUUUCUCCAACUUUAGUUGAAUCAAGUUUGACUACGGCUGGUCCUUUUUGAAGGUUAAAACAGCACACUUGACCAAAAAUCGUUGUGGUUUUGAUGCGUAGGUAAGAACGGUUCUUGCUAGAAGCCCGUAGCGGCCACGUAAAACUUGCAACAACAAAGUAGAGGACGUCUAACUUGUUUUUGCGGGGCUUGUUGUGAUGUGAUAUGGUCAAGGCAUGGUGUGAUAUAAAUUGUUGUAUGAGAUGAUCAUGUUUUGUAACAAAGUGAUCGGCAACUAGCAUGAGCCAUAUGGUUUUCGCUUUAUUGUAUGCACUGCAAUCGCCAUGUAAUUGUUUUACUUUAUCACUAAGUGGUAGCGAUAGUCGUAGUAACAAUAGUUGGCGAGACGACAACGAUGCUACGACGGAGAUCAAGGUGUUGCACCGGUGACGAUGGAGAUCAUGGCAAUGCUUCGGUGAUGGAGAUCAUGAGCACAAGAUGAUGAUGGCCAUAUCAUGUCACAUAUUUUGAUUGCAUGUGAUGUUUAUCUUUUAUGCAUAUUAUUUUGCUUAGUAUGGCGGUAGCAUUAUAAGAUGAUCCAUUACUAAAUUUCAAGGUAUAAGUGUCUUCCCUGAGUAUGAACCGUUGCUACAGUUCGUCGUGCCGAGACACCACGAGAUGAUCGGGUGUGAUAAGCUCUACGUUCACAUACAAUGGGUGCAAGCCAGUUUUGCACACGUAGAAUACUCGAGAUAAACUUGACGAGCCUAGCAUAUGCAGAUAUGGCCUUGGAACAUUGAGACCAAAAGGUCGAACGUGAAUCAUAUAGUAGAUAUGAUCAACAUAGUGAUGUUCACCAUUGAAAACUACUCCAUCUCACGUGAUGAUCGGACAUGGUUUAGUUGAUUUGGAUCACGUGAUCAUUUAGAUGACUAGAGGGAUGUCUAUCUAAGUGGGAGUUCUUAAGUAAUAUGAUUAAUUGAACUUUAAUUUAUCAUGAAGUUAGUCCUGAUAGUUAUUUUGCAUGUCUAUGUUAUUGUAGAUCAAUGGCCCGUGCUACCGUUCCUUUGAAUUUUAAUGUGUUCCUAGAGAAAGCUAAGUUGAAAGAUGAUGGCAUAGAAGAAUUACGUCCUGGAAGGACCGUUAGGUGUACCACCCGCGCCAGCAACUACAGACAUUGUGAAUGCCUGGCAGAUGCGUGUUGAUGACUACUCGAUAGUUCGGUGUGCCAUGCUCUACGGCUUAGAAUAGGGACUUCAAAUACAUUUUGAACAUCAUGGAGCAUAUGAGAUGUUCCAAGAGUUGAAGUUAAUAUUUCAAGCAAAUGCCUGAGUUGAGAUAUAUGAAGUCUCCAACAAGUUCUACAGCUGCAAAAUGGAGGAGAAUAGUUCUAUCAGUGAACACAUACUCAGAAUGUCUGGGUAGCAUAACCACUUGACUCAGCUAGGAGUUAAUCUUCCCGAUGAUAGUGUCAUUGACAGAGUUCUUCAAUCACUGCCACCAAGCUAUAAAGGCUUCAUGAUGAACUAUAAUAUGCAAGGGAUGAACAAGACUAUUCCCGAGCUCUUCGUGGUGCUAAAGGUUGCGGAGGUAGAAAUCAAGAAGGAGCAUCAAGUGUUGAUGGUCAACAAGACCACUAGUUUCAAGAAAAAGGGCAAAGGGAAGAAGGGAAACUUCAAGAAGAACGGCAAGAAAGUUGCUGCUCAGGAGAAGAAACCCAAGUCUGGACCUAAGCUGAAACUGAGUGCUUCUACUACAAAGGGACUGGUCACUCGAAGUGGAACUGCCCCAAGUAUUUGGAGGAUAAGAAGGAUGGCAAAGUGAAAGGUAUAUUUGAUAUACAUUUUAUUGAUGUGUAGCUUACUAAUGCUCGUAGUAGCGCCUUGGUAUUUGAUACUGCUUCUGUUGCUCAUAUUUGCAACUCCAAACAGGGGCUAAGGAUUAAACGAAGAUUGGCUAUGGACAAGGUGACGAUGCACGUGGGAAAUGGUUCCAAGGUCGAUGUGAUCGCCGUUGGCACGCUACCUCUACAUAUACCUUCGGGAUUAGUUUUAGACCUGAAUAAUUGUUAUUUGGUGUCAGCGUUGAUAAUUGUUAUUUGGUUCCAGCGUUGAGCAUGAACAUUAUAUCUGGAUCUUGUUUGAUGCGAGACGGUUAUUCAUUUAAAUCAGAGAAUAAUGGUUUUUCUAUUUAUAUGAGUAAUAUCUUUUAUGGUCAUGCACCCUUGCUGAGUGGUCUAUUUUUGUUGAAUCUCGAUCGUGAUGAUGCACAUAUUCAUAAUAUUGAAGCCAAAAGAUGCAAAGUUGACAAUGAUAGUGCAACUUAUUUGUGGCACUACCGUUUGGGUCAUAUCGGUGUAAAGCGCAUGAAGAAACUCCAUGCUGAUGGACUUUUGGAAUCACUUGAUUAUGAAUCACUUGGUGCUUGCGAACCGUGCCUCAUGGGCAAGAUGACUAAAAUUCUGUUCUCCGGAACAAUGGAACGAGCUACUAACUUAUUGAAAAUUAUACAUACAGAUGUAUGUGGUCCAAUGGGUGUUGAGGCUCGUGGAGGGUGUUGGGGAUAUAACUAUUGGGUAUGAACCGCCCAGGAGGGGCCGGGUCAUACCACUAGCGAUAACCCAUGAAGGGGGUGGGUCAUAACAAGCCCGCUGACGGCCCAAGACCCAGAGGCAACUUAGGGCCCAGAAGGAUGAACCGCCAUGAGGAUAAACUUGUAUUGUAAGGCAGGCUUAGUUAGUCACCGAGCCGGACACGUUGUCUAUGAGCCGGCCGGGACUCUGUAAGCCACGGGGCGUUCACCUGUGUAUAUAAAGGGACGUCUCGGCGGCGAGUUAGGACAGGAAAGAAAAAGCUCGAGAACUAGGUCAAGCGUAUUCGCUCCCUGGUAAUUGAAGCCCAAGCAAUAACCACCCUACACUGGAUUAGGCUGUUACCUCCACCGCGAGGGGCCGAACCAGUAUAAACUCUCCGUGUCCCUUGUCCCGUUUAACCCCUUCAAGCUAACUACGUUCCGAUGGAUCCACACCUAAGUCCUUAUGCUAGGACAUCUGACAUGAUAAUUCCACGACAGUUGGCGGCCACUGUGAGGCUGGCGCACGAUGGUUUAGAGUUCUUGAAGGGCAGCUUUGCAGGGCUCAAGGGGUACGCCGUGGGCCGGAUGACCAAGAGUCGUCACGGCAAGCUCUACAUCAACGAUGAGGGCUGGGGCCCCAAGGCCGACUCAACGAUGAGUCGGAAGCUGAGCCGGACAUCUGCACCAACAUCGUCAAGUCGGCUCGACGCGUGUGACCCGCCAAGGCUAACACCGCCUCGAAGCAUGUUUUUGUCGGUUUCGUUCAUGGAGCGGAGCUAGAAGGAGGAUAUGAAUCUGGUGGUGAGACGUUUAUUUACUUAGGCGAUGAGUCUUCUGCUGGUGAGACCAACUCCAUCUACCAGGUUCAGGAUGGCGGGCUUGGGGGUUGUUCCGAUGGUGACAGUAUUCUGGACUCCUACGAGCCGCCACACCAGGUCACAGUCUUCAUGGCCGGUACACAGCCAGCGCAGGACUCUACGACUGUAGCGGCAAUGAUCUUCGGGUCAGAAACAGCGACGACUUCUAGGGCAGGAGGACCUGUGCGCCCGCCAGCUCAAGUUUUGUCUGAUCUAUUGGAUGCUUUGACAACGUUGUUAACGGCAAAUGUCAACUCGGCGAAUCAAGCUCAGCAUAACACAGAGGUUACAAAAUUGUGUGAUGAGAUAGCGCAUGCCAAGGAGUUAAAUGCAGAGAACACCCGGAUGGCAACGGAGCAAGCCGCCUUGCAGAGGGAAGCAGAACAGCUUCAGGCAGAGAGCUUGCACUUAAGCUUGGACAUGAAUGCGUCCACUGCUGUUUUCAACAGAAGGCAUGUGAGCCGUCUGCCCCCGACUUAUGAUGCGAGGAAUCUUUUCAAAACGCCUGGGGCAAGACCUAGUAACCCGCCUGGUGUGAAUCGGACCACUGAGGCGCCAGGGGCAGGAGAACCGGUUCAACCACGGGCUACAGAUCCCCCACAUAUGAAUGUGACCCCUCCUCAGCAUGUUCCAACACCUCCUAACCCCUUGGAUAACAUGAUAGCUUCGGCAACACGGCUGGCGGCUCUCCCGUCCCAGGAUGAGUCGCCAGCGGCAAUGGAAAUACGGAGAGCCGGAGAGCUUCUUCAGACGGCUGUGGCCCAGCAGGCGGCUUAUUCAUACAGUCGUGAUUGUACCCAUUCAACACCUCGUCCAGGCAUGAGUUAUAGCAGGCACAUUGAUGAAUCGACCGUGUCAAGCAGUGAGCGGCACCGCAACCAGCCUCGCAGGCCUGACCCGCCGCGUGUCGGCACUGAUGCUUAGAUUUUGGUAGACCAGGGUAGAGCAUGGCGUGAAGCAGAGCUAGCGGCUCAGCUGACGGCUCAACUGGCGGCUCAACAGAAAUCUCCGGUUUAUCCUUCAGCGUCCAUGGAGGUAGGAGCGGCCUCUAGAACCUUGGGUGUGCCAUGUUUAGUGCCGGCUCUUUGCAAUGAGCGCUUGCCUAAGGAUUUCAAGGGCCCCCUAAAGUGCCUAAUUACACGACGGAUCAGCCCCCAGAGGCUUGAUCAAAAGUUAUGAGAUGGAUAUGGAGAUGCUGGAUGUCGGCGAUGCAGCGUGUGCUAAGUACUUCACCAUGAUUUUGGAUGGGUCGGCUCGUACGUGGUUAAAAAUAGUGCCCCCUAAUUCUAUUGGGUCAUGGGCAGAGUUAAAGAGGCGUUUUAUUCAAAAUUUCAAGGACACAUGCAAGCAGCCUAUGUCGAUUCUGGAUUUGGAUUCUUGCAUUCAGGGAGAAGGAGAGUCAACAACCCAUUGGGUGCGCCGGAUUUCGUCAAUCAUACAUUCAUCAGAUAGUAUCAAUGUCGGUUUUGCAGUCCUGAUGUUAGAGAAGAAUUGUCGUUUCCUCCCUCUUAAGCAGAAGCUGGGGCAGCUUAAGCGUCACUGCAAUGAUAUGGGGGAGCUAAUGGCGGCUCUCGUCAAAUACGCCGACUCUAAAAGUACCAAGGAUCCCGAAUCUGAUGAUGAUAAGCCGGGAAGGGAAAGAAGAGCGGCAAUGUAAAAGGGCAGCGGCAUAUUUCGGCGGUUCAAGUCGACAACAGUAAGCGUAAGGCUGAUGGUAAUUUUGAUUUUGUGGCUAACACCAAUGCGCAGAAUAAUAAUCAGUGUCGCAAGGGAAAGCCACCCCAAGGGUCAAAACUCAACCUUGAGGCAAUGCUAAAUCAACCUUGUCCAAAGCACGGCAUGCGUGAUAAGCCAUCUGGUCAUAUGUGGAGGGAUUGUUACAUCAUGAAGGAGUUUAGAAAUACAAAACAUUUCAAUCAUGGUCCACAUGGCAGCUCAGGGUCCGGCUCUCAUGAACCUAGUUUUGGUAGUGGCGGUUCAAGCUCCGGCUUUCAGGGUCAAGGCAAUCAAGGUGGUCUUAAUCAACAGUCUAACCAAGGAAGCCAGCUGCAGUAGUCUGGCUAUCAAAGCAACCCAAAGCAGCUGGACUGCGGUCAGUAUCACGUGUUCACUACGAGUCUAUGCAAGAGAGAUUAGAAAAUCCAUAAGCGGGCGGUGAACUCUGUUGAACCGGCGGUGCCCCGAUACUUAAGGUGGUCUGAACAGUCUAUUACGUGGAGCAGAGAAGAUCACCCACCCCGAGUCAAUAAUCCGGGUCAGCUGGCUUUAGUGGUUGCUCCACAGGUGGGAGGAUAUAAGCUCACAAAGGUGCUCAUGGAUGGAGGCAUUAGUGUCAAUAUUCUUUAUUGUGAGACCUUUUGUCGUAUGAAUCUGACUGACAAGGAUCUUUGGCCGCCUUCUACUAUUUUUCAUGGGGUGGUGCCUGGUAAGUCAGCGUAUCCAGUGGGUAGGAUAACACUGGAAGUGGUUUUGGAGAUGACAAUGAUUCCAGAGUUGAGAAAUUAACCUUUUAGGUGGUGAAAAUUAAGAGCCCAUACCAUGCUUUAUUUGGGCGGCCGGCUUACGCAAAGUUGAUGGCACGACCGUGCUAUGUUUAUUUGCAGCUUAAGAUGUCGGGUCACAAGGGCACCAUCACGGUGCAUGGCAAUAGAAAAAUAGCUCUCGAUUGUGAAGAGGGUGAUGCUGCUUAUGCUGAGUCGGCUUGUGCCACUAAAGAAUUGAAGUUUUAUAAAGACAAUGUUGACCCGGCAGAUAUGACACCUUUGAAGAAGCCAACGACAGAGAAUGAGCCCUUAAUGAAGUUUAAGUCAGCAGAUGAUACUAAGCUAGUUGAUUUUCUCCCUGGCAAUUCUUCAAAGCAAUUCAGCAUUAGUGCGAACAUGGAUUCGAAAUAGGAAAGCGCGCUCAUCGAGUUCAUCCGUGAGAACCGGGACAUCUUUGCAUGGAAACCUUCUGAUAUGCCAGGUGUACUGAGGGAACUCGCUGAGCACACUCUUAAUGUGGAUCCUAAGUUUAAACCGGUUAAACAGUUUCUCCGCCGUUCCAAUGAGGAAAGGAGCAAGGCAAUUGGUGAAGAAAUGGCCCGGCUCUUGGCAGCAGGGUUCAUAGUUGAAGUUUUUCAUCCUGAAUUGUUGGCUAACCCGGUGCUAGUACUUAAGAAAAAUGGCACUUGGUGUAUGUGUGCGGAUUAUACAGACCUUAACGAGGCCUGUCCAGCUGAUCCCUUUGCUCUCCCUCGUAUUGAUAAGAUUAUUGAUGCUACGGCGGGUUGUGAGCAAUUGAGUUUUUUAGAUGCUUAUUCUGGUUAUCAUCAAAUUAAAAUGGUAGUUAAGGACCAGGAGAAGACAACUUUUAUCACUCCCUUUGGAGCCUUCUGCUAUGUAUCUAUGCCUUUUAGGCUCAAGAGUGCCCAGGCGACUUACCAACAGUGUGUCCAGAAUUGCCUUCAUGGCCAGAUUGGGCGUAAUGUUCAUGCUUAUGUGGAUGAUAUUGUUGUGAAAUCCAGGAAGAAGGAGACGUUGAUUGAGGAUCUGAAGGAAACCUUUGACAACCUCUGGGUCUACAAGAUGAUGCUUAACCCGGCCAAGUGUGUUUUUGGUGUGCCAGCCGACAAGUUAUUGGGUUUCUUAGUAUCUGAGAGAGGCAUUGAAGCUAACCCAGAGAAGAUCAAGGCUAUAACCUCUUGGGCUAAGCCGGCGUGUAUCAAUGAUGUCCAGUGUUUGGCGGGUCACAUCGCAGCUUUGAGUUGGUUUAUAAGUAGCCUGGGAGAGAAGGCCAUCCCUCUGUAUCAGAUGAUGAAGAAAACAGAUGAUUUUGUCUGGAGCAAUGCUGCUAAUGAGGCGUUCGAUGCACUUAAGAAGCAACUGGCUGAGCCGCCGGUUCUUGCAGCUCCCAUUGAGAAGGAUCCUUUGUUGUUAUAUGUGGCUGCAAACAACUGAGCUGUUAGUGUUGCAAUUAUGGUUGAAAGGAAGGAGUCAGGUAAGGAGCACCCGGUUCAAAGGCCAGUUUAUUAUGUCAGUGAGGUGCUCAUUGAGUCUAAGCAGAGAUACCCACAUUGGCAGAAGCUGGUUUAUGGUGUGUUCAUGGCUAGUCGUAAUUUGAAGCAAUAUUUCCUUGGUCAUCCCAUCACUGUGGUUAGCUCUGCCCCUUUGGGGGAUAUUAUUCAAAACAGGGAAGCCACAGGUCGGGUAGCUAAGUGGUCAUUGAGCUUGGACCCCAUUGUGUAAAGUAUGUGCCUUAGACGGCUAUAAAAUCUCAAGCACUUGUGGAUUUCAUCAAUGAUUGGACGGAGUUGCAAAUGCCUGAGGAUAAGUCGGAUCAUACAUAUUGGACUAUUCAUUUUGAUGGACCUAGGCAGUUGGAACGCUCAGGGGCUGGAGUUAUAUUGACUUUCCCACGAGGUGAUAAAUUUUGUUGUGUUUUUAAGGUUGAUGUUCCCUUGUACUAACAAUGCAGCUGAAUAUGAAACCUUACUCCAUGGUCUUCGGAUGGCUAAAGAGAUGAAUUUAAGCCGGUAAGGUGUUUUGGUGACUCAGAUCUAGUGGCUCGGCAAGUAUCAGGGACCUGAGAUUCCAAGGAUCCACUCAUGGCGGCUUAUCGUCGAGAAGUAGAUACUAUUGCUGGUCACUUCAAAGGAUAUCAGGUGGAGCAUGUUGAUCGCAGGAAAAAUGAAGCAGCUGAUGCGUUAAGCCGUCUAGGAUCUCAACGUAAGCCGGUCCCCCCUAAUGUUUUCCUCGAUAUUUUACAUAACCCAUCAGUGAAGUUACCUACGGAGGAAGACUUGGUAGUUCCUGACCCAGAGACACAAUUGGUGGUGGUUCUUCAUGCUAUCCCUGAUUGGACUGUUCCAUAUUUGGCUUACAUGACCCGAGGUGAGUUACCUAAGGAUGAAACUUUGGCCAGGCAGAUAACCCGAUGGUCUAAGUCAAUGACUAUUGUCAAAGGUGAAAUUCAUAGAUGCAGUGUUACAGGGGUGUUUCAAUGAUGCGUUUCUCCUGAGGAGGGCCGUGAAAUUCUAAGGGAGAUUCAUGAAGGAUAUUGCGGUCAUCAUGCCGGCUCUAAGUCCCUUGUUGCUAAAGCUUUUCGUCAUGGGUUUUAUUGGCUGACGGCUCAUGCUGAUGCAGAAGAUCUGGUCAGUAUGUGAUGGUUGUCAGAAAUUCUCAAAACUUGCUCAUGUGUUGGCUCAAGAAUUGAGGAUGAUUCCAAUUACUUGGACGUUUGCAGUUUGGGGGCUAGAUAUGGUUGGGCCUUUCAAAAGGUCCAAGGAUAAAAAGACCCACCUCUUGGUGGUGGUUGAUAAGUUUACAAAUUGGAUUGAGGCUGAGCCGGUCAGCAAAUGUGAUGCAGCCACGGUGGUUCAAUUCAUUAAAAAGGUGAUAUUUCGUUUUGGGUAUCCUCAUAGUAUCAUCACCAACAAUGGUACUAAUCUAUCUUAAGGAGCAAUGGAAGAAUUCUGUGAAUAAGAGCAUAUCCACCUUGAUGUGUCAUUAGUGGCUCACCCCCAGUCUAAUGGCCAAGCUGAACGAGCAAAUCAGGAAAUCUUGAGAGGUAUUAAGCCCCGGCUUUGGUUCCUUUGCAGAGGACACUGGGUUGUUGGGUGGAAGAGUUGCCAUCAGUACUUUGGAGUAUCAAUACCACCCCCAAUAGAUCUAUGGGUUACACGCGUUUCUUCAUGGUUUAUGGAGCUGAGGCGGUUCUCCCCAAUGACAUACAUCACAAUUCGCCUCAUGUGGCGGCUUAUGUUGAAGCUGACAAUGAGAAUGCACGUCAGGAUGCUAUUGACCUGUUAGAUGAGGAGCGUGACCUUGCGGCAGCUCAUUCGGUGAUUUACCAGCAAGAUCUACGGUGUUAUCACAACCGCCGGGUUAAAACCAGAACCUUUCAAGAAGGCGACUUAGUGCUCCGGCUCAUCCAGGAUCAAACUGACAUGCACAAGUUAUUCCCACCUUGGGAAGGGCCCUUUGUGGUCAGCAAGAAUCUGAACAAUGGAUCAUACUACCUUAUCGAUGUUCGAGACCAUAAGGACUCACGCACGUCGGAGGAGGAGACCCGCCGGCCAUGGAAUAUUGCUCAUCUUCGGCCUUAUUACACCUGAGCCACCGGCUCUUGUGAUGUACAUACGUUAUCGAUGUAUAUAUUAUCAUGAAUAUAAUAAAGUUGGCAUCCCUGAUAAUUCAGGGCCUCUGUCAUUUCAUUUCUAAGAUUAUGAGUCCUUAUUGUCACUUCAUAUGAUCACUUGGGGGCUUCCUCCUCAUUGGGCAUAGCUAAAGAUUACCCUCUUGAUCCGGCUUAUACACCAUGAUUGAAAGAUACUUGGGGGCUUCCUCAUGGAGCAUAGCUCUGAUUUCGGUUUAUAGACCUGAAGUAAAACUUGGAGGCUCACUAGCAUAGCUAUGACCCUUUAGGCUUGGACGCCUAGGUGUAUUCACCAAAAAAUAUGGGUUAUCCUGCCUUGGUAAGUUGUCCACUCCUCCCACGUAAUCCUGGAAUGACCCGCUGUACUCUUAGCAAUUAUUCUUAUAAAUACACUAAACUUGUCAAAGUUAAAACGGUGAUUGGUCAUGUGAGGCCCGGCUUACUAGGUUUUGAAUUAAGGUUUAACUCAACGGUUGUGCGGCCCAUGAAAGCACUUGGGUUUUAGCCUUGGCGGCCUGUGAAAGCCUCGUUUUCUGGUUUGUGUUUCAUUUGACAUUUCUUGGAGUUUUGUUUUGUCACAUAUCAAUACAUGGUUAUAAAACCAAUUAGGGCCAUGUUGCCUUAUGGAUCAUGUAUAUCCUUAUCCGGAGUAUUAUUAACCCGAUCUGGCUUUGGACUAUAAGUCGCCAAGAUACAAUGAUCAUACACUUAGAGCUUUCCACUCAAGUUUUGGGAUGUUACCCCUUGCUGCAUGCGGUGUUAUAAACUGGCAACGUAAAUAUAUUGAACAGGCCAUUAUGCUUCAGUCUAUGGGCUAUUGCCUUUACACAUGACUUAUGAUGACUCGGCAGGAUGAACAAAUAUCACAGGUAUGAUAUUUAUUUCAUUGUAUAAGGUUUUUUAUAAAUCGGCCCUGAUUAGGACUGAUUAGUCCUUAGUGGUUUUUUAUAUAUGGGGUAUCAUGACCCGCCCUGGGGUAAACCGCCAAGGCACUUGUUGUCUGUUUAUAUACAGGGAAAAACAACAAAUCAGAUCUGCAUAAUUGAUCAUACCACAAAGCAUAAGGGACAAAUUUCCUAGUGAAGGAUCAAAGCGCUAUGCAAACAAAAUGUGCACGAUGGCACGAUAGAACAGUACUUAAUGAGCCUAUUACAUGGCUCCACGAGCCCAAAUGGAUAAAUUGUUUUUUAACAGUUCCUGGUGGUGCAAAUCAAGAACUGCCCAGCGGAUUAGUUCUCCUGGCCUUGGCGGUUUGAAGCCUCCUGCACUCGGCCAGGGAUCUGAUUCAGUCGAGUCAUCAACGACUCGAGAUCUUGUGAAAGCUUUUCCUGGGGCCAGAGUUCGGCAUCAACCCGAGUCAUCACCGUCUUCAGCCGAGCCAGAUAAGCGACAACACUGUCCAUUCGUGAUUCCAACCGCAACAAGUUCAUCGCAACAUCAUCUUUCACAGGACAAUUGAUGGGGUCGAUACCCGUCUCGACCCGCCCAGUCUCAGCUUCAAAAUCCUGACAAAGUUCUGCACAAUCAGGAAAAGUGGUGAGUUGACAAUAUAACAAAAUAUUCCAGUCGACGGCAAUUAACCAGUCGAGUGGUGAUACCUUCGAGCUUCAGGACCAGUUUCGCAGCAAGUUGUCCCAAAUAGGACUCCAGUUUGCUCGUCUUGGCUCUGAGGCUUCCGACUUCAUUGGUCAGGUUCUCCUUUUCAUUUUUUUAGUUGCUCAACUUCCUGAUUGGCUUCAGAGAUGGCAGUCUUCAGCUUCGAGUUCUCCUCUUCCAAUUUGCCAACAGAAGCCAGCUUCUUGUCCGCAAGCGCUGUCUUCUCUCGUGCUUCCUUCUGAGCAGCAGCAAGAUACAGAUCCUUCUUCUCCAGAGCUUCCUUCAUUUUCUCUAAAGAAACAACACUCUUCAGACGAGCUUGAAGCUGAAGGUUUUCACUACGCACAUCUGCUCUUGUGAAGUCACUCGGUUCAAAGAAACUGAAAGAAACAACACUGAAAAGCGCGAGCCACAAGGUGGGCAAGUGUCGAUUGGUUACCUCCCAUGAUGGCAGUUUCUUCUUGAGCAGUCUUGAGGUUCUUCUUCGCCAGUUCAAGAUCAAGUUCGAGGCUGAUGUGCUUCUUGUUUAACUCAGAAAAGUCGAGCUCCAAGAUCACAAGACCUCUGCAGUCAGCGAGAGAGAUAUGUCAGUCGACAGAAACAAAAGACAAUGACAGUGAAAGUUACUCUAAGACUACUGCCGAAUCACAUAUUCAACAGUAGUCUCAGGGACUACACCCAGUGGGUGCACUUAGCAUGCCCCCACUGACCUAGAAAAACACUCAACAUGGUCUGCCCAGUGUGAGUAAAAAAACAACAAAAGUAGAUUCUCAGACCUCAGUCGACUGCCAGCAGUCGAUCAUGGUCUCGGGGACUACACCCAAUGGGUGCACUCUGCGUGCCCCCACUGGUUCCGACAAAACAUUAAGACUUAGAAUGAGUCGAGUGGAGAGGAAGAUCUCUUAAAACUCUAAAGCAAGCACACCCCAGUGGGCGAUCGGAUAUGGAACAUAGACUCAUGAUAGUAGGUUCACAGUUUGGACAACAUUCAAAAGUUCAGUCGGGAGAUCACUGACCUUAACAUUGGUCUAUAGAGCGGUGCUGACAUUAUAGCCCACCUGGCUGGCCUCAUGCAUCACCUUCACCUGGUCCAUAACAAGGUUCACCUAGCGAAGAGCCUCCCUGGUAGCACUUGGCGAGUCAUCCGGGGUCUGGUAUGCAGUAAAAAGUGAUGGCUCCAAGGCGGCAGAAGCUGUCACUGGGUCAGAUGUGUGGAGUUGCACCGGAACAGUGGGAGCAGGAACAGUCGACCCCGACGGGCGAUCAGCCGUCAGCGGGUUGGCGAAUGUGAUGUUGGUCCGAACCAGAUCUCCGGAUCGCUCGACCACGACCUCAAGCACCGACGUCGACUGAUGGACUUGAACUUCAAGCCCUCUCCGCUUGAACCCCUGCAUCUCUUCCUCCUCUCCUGUAGAGACACUUCUUCUUCAUCAUCAUCAGGAACCACGACGAUGUCUUGUGGAACUGCAGCAAAAGAAAAACAUCGGAAAUUCAACUGACCGACAACUCAAUCGACUAAGCGAGUUCUGGUCAAGCGGACUUACCAUCUUGGGAGGUGGCUGCAUCAUCGGUCUCCUCGUCUCUUGGAGCCUUCUCAAUAUCCAUGUCAGUCGCAGCAGAGGUUGGGCUGGAAAGGAACAUGAUCCAUUCGGUAAGAACGGAAGUAUCAGUCGGCCUGGAUAAACACAAGAAAGAUGAUCACCCUGAGGCAACAGGGACGUCCAUCUUGAUCCUCGGCAGAGUCUUCCAAGUCUUAGGAAGAGUGACCUUGGGCUGCUUGGCGACCUUCUCUGCUGGAUCCGGAGUCGACGUCCGAGUGCGCUUCUGCGUUUGGGUGCUUGGAGCCACGUUCUUUCCGCGCCCGCCUACCGGGUCAUGGUGUUGCUUGGAUCGGUGUUCGGAGCGAGGCGGCGAGUCGACUGAUACGUCUCCAAUGUAUCUAUAAUUUUUUAUUGUUUCAUGCUAUUAUAUUACCCCUUUUGGAUGUUUAUGGGCUUUAUUUUACACACUUAUAUCAUUUUUGGGACUAACCUAUUAACCGGAGGCCCAGCCCAUAUUGUUGUUUUAUUGCCUGUUUCAGUAUUUCGAAGAAAAGGAAUAUCAAACAGAGUCCAAACGGAAUGAAACCUUCGGCAGCGAUAUUUUUGGGAAGAAUGUCAUCCUGGAGACUUGGAGUCCACGUCAGAAGAUCCUCGAGGAGGCCACAAGAUAGGAGGGCGCGCCCCCCUGUCUCGUGGACCCCUCGAGCACCCCCCGACCGACUUCUUUUGCCUAUAUAACCCUACGUACCUUAAAACCAUCGAAUAUCAAGAUAGACCGGGAGUUCCGCCGCCGCAAGCCUCUAUAGCCACCAAAAACCUCUCGAGACCGUUCUGGCACCCUGCCGGAGGGGGAAUCCAUCACCGGUGGCCAUCUACAUCACCCCGGCGCUAUCCAUGACGAGAAGGGAGUAGUUCACCCUCGGGGCUGAGGGUAUGUACCAGUAGCUAUGUGUUUGAUCUCUCUCGCGCGCGCGUUCUCUCUAUGGCACGAUCUUGAUGUAUCGCGAGCUUUGCUAUUAUAGUUAGAUCUUAUGAUGUUUCUCCCCCCUCUACACUCUUGUGAUGAAUUGAGUUUCCCUCGUGAAGUUAUCUUAUCGGAUUGAGUCAUUAUUUGAGAACACUUGAUGUAUGUCUUGCUGUGUUUAUCUGUGGUGACAAUGGGAUAUCACGUGCCACUUGAUGUAUGUUUUGGUGACCAACUUGCGGGUUCCGCCCAUGAACCUAUGCAUAGGGGUUGGCACACGUUUUCUUGACUCUCCGGUAGAAACUUUGGGGCACUCUUUGAAGUACUUUGUGUUGGUUGGAUGAAUUUGAGAUUGUGUGAUGCAUAUCGUAUAAUCAUGCCCACGGAUACUUGAGGUGAAAAUGGAGUAUCUAGGUGACAUUAGGGUUUUGGUUGAUUUGUGUCUUAAGGUGUUAUUCUAGUAUGAACUCUUGAAUAGAUUGAUCCGAAAGAAUAACUUUGACGUGGUUUCGUACCCUACCAUAAUCUCUUUGUUUGUUCUCCGCUAUUAGUGGCUUUGGAGUGACUCUUUGUUGCAUGUUGAGGGAUUGUUAUAUGAUCUAUCUAUGUUAUUAUUGUUGAGAGAACUUGCACUAGUGAAAGUAUGAACCCUAGGCCUUGUUUCCUAUCAUUGCAAUACCGUUUACGCUCACUUUUAUCAUCAGUUACCUUGCUGUUUUUAUAUUUUCAGAUUACAAAUACCUAUAUCUACCAUCCAUAUUGCACUUGUAUCACCAUCUCUUCGCCGAACUAGUGCACCUAUACAAUUUACCAUUGUAUUGGGUGUGUUUGGGACACAAGAGACUCUUUGUUAUUUGGUUGCAGGGUUAUUUGAGAGAGACCAUCUUCAUCCUACGCCUCCCACGGAUUAAUAAACCUUAGGUCAUCCACUUGAGGGAAAUUUGCUACUGUCCUACAAACAUGUGCACUUGCAGGCCCAACAACGUCUACAAGAAGAAGGUUGUGUAGUAGACAUCAAGCUCUUUUCUGGCGCCGUUGCCGGGGAGGUGAGUGCUUGAAGGUAUAUCUUUAGAUCUUGCAAUCGAAUCUUUUUGUUUCUUGUUUUAUCACUAGUUUAGUUUAUAAAAGAAAACUACAAAAAAAUGGAUUUGAGUUUGUCUCAUACGCUUCAUCUUUUUAAUAUCUUUCGUGAGUAUGAUGAAAAGGAAAAUUGUGCUCAAGUGCUAGAAGAAGAAGUCUAUAAAAUUUUUGGUAUUGCAUCUUUGAAUGAUGAGCAUGAUUGCAAUGUUGUUAGUAUGAAUCCCUUGAAUAUCCAUGAUGCUAAUGAUAUGCGAGGCCAUAAGCUUGGGGAAGCUAUUUUUGAUGAAUAUGAUAUUUUUUGUCCCCCAAGUUUUGAUGAGAAUAUUUAUUUUGAUGAAAGCAUGCCUCCUAUUUAUGAUGAUUAUAUUGAUGAAAGUGGGUUUGGAAGAGUGUCAACUUUAGGAAGUAAUGAUCCCACUACUUUGGGGGAUGUUGAAUAUUACUGUGAUAAUUAUGAAAGUGGAUUUGGAGAGGUCAUAACUUUAUUUAGUGAUGAUUCCACUAUUUCGGAAGAGGUUCCAAUUGAUUAUGAGAACAAAGUUGCUAUCUAUAAUGAUUAUUGUGAUGACUUGUAUGCUAUUAGGAAUAAUGAUAACCAUGAAACUUGUCAUCAUGAUUUUAGUUUUCAAUUGGAUUAUGCCUCACAUGAUAAUUAUUUUGUUGAGUUUGCUCCCACUACUAUUGAUGAGAAGAAUUUUGCUUUUGUGGAGAGUAGUAAAUUUUCUAUGCUUGUAGAUCAUGAAAAGAAUGCUUUAGGUGCUGGUUAUAUUGUUGAAUUCAUUCAUGAUGCUACUGAAAAUUAUUAUGAGGGAGGAACUUAUGCUUGUAGGAAUUGCAAUGAUAUCAAGUUUCCUCUCUAUGUGUUGAAAAUCUUGAAGCUAUGCUUAUUUUACCUUCCUAUGCUAGUUGAUUAUUGUUCACAUAAGUUGUUUGCUCACAAAAUACCUAUGCAUAGGAAGAGGGUUAGGCUUAAAUGUGCUAGCCAUAUGCUUCAUGAUGCUCCCAUUGUGUUUCAAUUCUUAUCUUUUAUGUGAGCAUCAUUGUCAUCAUCAUGCCUAACUAGAAAGGCAUUAAAGAAAAAUGCUUGUUGGGAGAAAACCCAAUAUUUAUCCUUACUGUUUUUCUGUGUACACAUGAUUAUGAUACUGUAUUAAUUAUGUUUUAUAAGUUUUGUUUCAAUAAAGUGCCAAGUAAGACCUUUAGGAUGGCUUACGGGUGAUAGUUGUGUUGAUCCUGCUGAGAAUCAGAAAAUUUUGCACCCAGUAAAUUAGUUUUGUUAAUUCACAGAAACGUGCUUAUGAUAUGAUUCUUUUUGCUCUGGAUUGGUACACAAAUUUCUAGGACUUACUAAUUUGGUAGAAUUUUUGGAGUUUCAGAAGUAUACGUUUGAUACAGAUUACUACAGACUGUUCUGUUUUUGACAGAUUCUGUUUUUCAUGUGUUGUUUGCUUAUUUUGAUGCAUCUAUGGCUAGUAUUAAGUGGUAUGAGCCAUAGAGAAGUUGGAUUACAGUAUAUAGUACACAAUUAUGAAUUUAGAAUGAGUUCAUUACAGUACCUAAGUGGUGGUUUUAUUUUCUUAUACUAACGGAGCUUACGAGUUUUCUGUUGAGUUUUGUGUUGUGGAGUUUUCAACUUUGGGGUAAAGAUUCGAUGGACUAUGGAAUAAAGAGUGGCAAGAGCCUAAGCUUGGGGAUUCCCAAGGCACCCCAAGGUAACAUUCAAGAACAACCAAGAGCCUAAGCUUGGGGAUGCCCCGGAAGGCAUCCCCUCUUUCUUCUUCGUUCAUCGGUAACUUUACUUGGAGCUAUAUUUUUAUUCGCCACAUGAUAUGUGUUUUGCUUGGAGAGGCAUUUUCUAUUGUUAGUAUUUGCUUGAUGUUAUUUAGAAUAAUUUUUUGCAACUUUAGUUUCAAUAAAAAUUUCAAGGAUAGCCUUUGCCAUGCUUAUUUUGCUAGUAUACAUGUUGCUGUUUGAAAACAGAAAGUUUACCGUUGUUGCAAAAAUUCCCUAGAAAAGUCAGAGCAUGAUAUAAUGUUGAAACUUUUUUCAUAAUGAGCUCUGAUAAAUUUACUACAGUGGGAAUUUUAUUUAAUAAUUUUUGGAGUUAGUGAAGUAUUGAUACUCUUGCAUUCUUUACAGACUGUACAGUUUUGACAGAUUGCUGUUAUGGUUGCAUUGUUUGCAUAUGUUUGCUUGUUUAAUGAUUCUAUUUGAGGAUAGGAGUAUUAAAUAUGCAUAGGCAUUUAGUAUUAGAUGUUGAAUAAUAAAUUAAGUGAUUUGUUACAGUAGAAAAUGAUAAGGUUUUGCAUUGGUUUAUACUAACCUAUCUCACGAGUUCUUGUUGAGUUUGGUGUGAAUGAAGCUUUUUGAUAAAAAGAAGAGAAACCAUGGUAUGAGAGGAAUUAAGGAGACACAAAAGUUCAAGAUUGGGGAUGCCCAAGGCACACCAAGAUAAUAUUUCAAGAAGUCUCAAGCAUCUAAGCUUGGGGAUGCCCCGGUAGGCAUCCCACCUUUCUUCUUCAACAACUAUCGGUUAGUAUCGGUUGAGCCUAAGUUUUUGCUUCUUCACUUGAGUUGUGCUAACCUUGCAAUGUCAUUUUAUAUUUUGCUUGCUGUUUGAAUACAAUAACAAGAUCUGAAAUUCUCAAAUGUUAGAGAGUCUUCUCAUAGUUGCACAAUUAUUCGACUACUCAUUGAUCUUCAGUUAUAUUUCUCGGAGUAGUUUGUCAUUUGCUCUAGUGCUUCACUUAUAUCUUUUAGAGCACGGCGGUGGUUAUAUUUUGUAGAAAUUGCUAGAAUCUCAUGCUUCACUUAUAUUAUUUUGAGAGUCUUUUAGAACAGCAUGGUAUUUGCUAUGGUUACAAAGUUGGUCCUGGAAUGAUGAGCAUCCAAGUUGGGUAUAAUAAAAACUAUCAUAGAAAGUGAAUUGGAUGCUAUGAUCAAUUUGAUGCUUGAUAAUUGUUUUGAGAUAUGGAGGUAGUGAUAUUAGAGUCAUGCUAGUUGAGGUGAUUAUGAAAAAUACUUGUGUUGGGGUUUGUGAUUCCCGUAGCAUGCACGUAUGGUGAACCGCUUUGUGAUGAAGUUGGAGCACAAUUUUAUUUAUUGAUUGUCUCCCUUAUGAGUGGCGGUCGGGGAUGAGUGAUGGUCUUUUCCUACCAAUCUAUCCCGCUAGGAGCAUGCAUGUAGUGCUUUGGUUUUUGAUGACUUCUAGAUUUUUGCAACAAGUACAUGAGUUCUUUUGACUAAUGUUGAGUCCAUGGAUUAUACGCACCUCACCCUUCCACCAUUGCUAGCCUCUCUUGUGCCGCGCAACUUUCGCCGGUACCAUACACCCACUAUUUACCUUCCUCAAAACAGCCACCAUACCUACAUAUCAUGGCAUUUCCAUAGCCAUUCUGAGAUAUAUUGCCAUGCAACUUUCCACCGUUCCGUUCAUAUGACACGCAUUACUUUUGUCAUAUUGCUCUUUGCAUGAUCAUGUAGUUGACAUCGUAUUUGUGGCAAGGCCACCUUCAUAAUCUUCAUACAUGUCGCUCUUGAUUCAUUGCAUAUCCCGGUACACCGCCGGAGGCAUUCAUAUAGAGUCAUAUCUUGUUCUAGCUUUGAGUUGUAAUUCUUGAGUUGUAAAUCCAUAAAAGUGUGAUAAUCUUCAUUCUUAAAGCAUUGUCCCAGUGAAGAAAGGAUGAUGGAGACUAUGAUUCCCCCACAAGUCGGGAUGAGACUUCGGACUUUACAAAAAGAAAAAAAAGAAAAAAAAGAGAAAGGCCAAAAAAGGCCAAAGAAAAAAAGAAAAAAAAAGAGAAAAAAUAAAAUAAGUAAAAUAAAAUGAGAGAAAAAGAGAGAAGGGACAAUGCUACUAUCUCUUUUCCACACUUGUGCUUCAAAGUAGCACCAUGAUCUUCAUGAUAGAGAGUCUCAUAUGUUGUCACUUUCAUAUACUAGUGGGAAUUUUUCAUUAUAGAACUUGGCUUGUAUAUUCCAAUGAUGGGCUUCCUCAAAAUUCCCUAGGUCUUCGUGAGCAAGCAAGUUGGAUGCACACCCACUUAGUUUCUUUUGUUGAACUUUCAUAUAUUUGUAGCUCUAGUGCAUCCGUUGCAUGGCAAUCCCUACUCACUCACAUUGAUAUCUAUUAAUGGGCAUCUCCAUAGCCCGUUGAUACGCCUAGUUGAUGUGAGACUAUCUUCUCCUUUUUGUUUCUCCACAACCACCAUUCUAUUCCACAUAUAGUGAUAUGUCACUACUAGGGAAAACCCUAGUAGUAGCGCGGGUUUUGAGGCUAGCAGCAGCGCGGGUGGCCGCGCUACUAAUAAGGCGCUACAGCUAACUCAUAGUAGUAGUGCGGCCCUAACCCCGCUACUACUGUUGACGAUAUCAGCAGCGCUUUUUAGGAAUGCGCUACUAUUAACUAGCUGUAGCGAUUUCCCCAUCCCUCACUACUGCUAUAUCUUUCAUCAUUUUCCAUUACCCCUUUCCCUUUCAGUUUCCCUUUCAGAUACUAGAUACUAGGUACUGCUAGUACAUAUCAAAUUCAUAAACCAUUACUAGGUAGUACUCCCUUCGUUACAAAUUACUCUUCGUGGUUUUAGUUCAAACCACGACGAGUAAUUUGGAACGAAGGGAGUACUAGAUAACAAUUUCAUGCAUAGUCAAGAUGCAUCCUCAAGCAGUACAAGGUCAUAUCAACGGCCAUCAUCAUAUGUAGUUCUAGAUGAUAUCGACGACGAUCAUCAUAUGUAGUUCUAGAUGAUAUAGCCACACACACACAUAUGUAGUUCUAGAUGAUAUCGAAGACAAUCAUCAUCCUCAAGCCUGGGCGGUUGGUGUUCCUAAUAGUAAUUAGGAUGGCCUGUCCAACACGAAGAUUCUUGCCAUCGAGGAAUUUCUUCCACCCAACCGAGUUUAAGUGUGUGCGACCGUCCGUGUCCACGUGGUAAGUACAGGUUGUGAUGGAGCCCCUUGCAGUAAGGCGUAGUCCAGCUAAGCCUUCUUCAUCAGGCUCGAUACCAUAACUCACAGAUAUGCUCUUUGCCAAUUUUUGAAUAAGAAAAACAUAUCAAUUAAUAAAUAGCCUCGCAAAUAAGUACAUAUGGAUUAUCUACACUAUUAAUAGUUUCCUUAGAUUCUACACUAAUAAGCAUGUGAUCGAACUCUACACUAAAACAUAUCAUCGACUAGAUUCCACACAACAUACCAUAUCAUUGGACUGUACACUAAGUAAUUCAUCGGAUAAUUUGCAUUUGUAAGUGUAACAUACCAUAUCAUGUCGAUCAACCAUGGUAUUUGUCAAGCGGGUCACGAAUGGCACCCCGACAAAGUCAGCACGUGGCGGAAUUAUGUCCCACAGGUUGGACACCUCCUCCUCACUCAGCCUUGUUCUUUGAGCUACGAUGGCUUCAUGAAGUGGGUCCUCAUCAUCUUCAUCGAGUGGGUCCUCAUUAUCUUCAUCAUCUUUAUCAUCUUUGUCAUCUUCAUCAUCUUCCACCAGGUUGAGAUAAAUGACAGCUAGCUUGGGUCUUUCUGCUUGGAAGGAGAAGCUGAUCAACUCACCACCAGUAAGACGCAUGCGAGCGAUGAAACGGGCCCAUCCAUCUCCUCCAAUCUGUGACAUAUUGCGUCCUUUCUCGACCUCCAUAGUGUACGGCCCCACAGGAGCCUCAAAUGUCACAGUGUCUCCUGUCAGCUUGUUGAAUUUCAACCUCACAUUGCAUGGAACGAUCUGUGUAAAAUAAGCAAAAUGACACAACGCAGUAAUGCCAACACUAAAAAUAAAAUAGUUAUUACAUUACAUCUAAUUUCUUACCGCCGCAUGAUGAAAACUUGGCUAGAAGUAGAUGCCGAACAGCUUGCCAGUUGCAAGGCUGCUGGCGCAUCUUGACUUGCACAGUCGACAUAGUGGUGGUGGUGGUGGCGCCAUUUUUUCUAAAGCAAUAUGAGCAAAGGAUUAACGAUCAACUAAAUCAAAAUGUUCUAAGUGAACUAAAUCAACUAGCCUACUAAAUCAACUAAAUCAUAUCAACUAAAUAAAAAUGUUGCAUAUGAACUAGCCUACUAAAUCAACUAAAUCAAAAUGUUCUAAGUCAACUAAAUCAACUAGCCUACUAAAUCAACUAAAUCAAAAUGUUCUAAAUCAACUAAAUCAACUAGCCUACUAAAUCAACUAAAUCAAAAUGUUCUAAAUCAACUAAAUGAACUAGCCUACUAAAUCAACUAAAUCAAAAUGUUCUAAGUCAACUAAAUCAACUAAAUGAAUUAGCCUACUAAAUCAACUAAAUNNNNNNNNNNNNNNNNNNNNNNNNNNNNNNNNNNNNNNNNNNNNNNNNNNNNNNNNNNNNNNNNNNNNNNNNNNNNNNNNNNNNNNNNNNNNNNNNNNNNNNNNNNNNNNNNNNNNNNNNNNNNNNNNNNNNNNNNNNNNNNNNNNNNNNNNNNNNNNNNNNNNNNNNNNNNNNNNNNNNNNNNNNNNNNNNNNNNNNNNNNNNNNNNNNNNNNNNNNNNNNNNNNNNNNNNNNNNNNNNNNNNNNNNNNNNNNNNNNNNNNNNNNNNNNNNNNNNNNNNNNNNNNNNNNNNNNNNNNNNNNNNNNNNNNNNNNNNNNNNNNNNNNNNNNNNNNNNNNNNNNNNNNNNNNNNNNNNNNNNNNNNNNGAUCAACUAAAUCAAAAUGUUCUAAGUGAACUAAAUCAACUAGCCUACUAAAUCAACUAAAUCAUAUCAACUAAAUAAAAAUGUUGCAUAUGAACUAGCCUACUAAAUCAACUAAAUCAAAAUGUUCUAAGUCAACUAAAUCAACUAGCCUACUAAAUCAACUAAAUCAAAAUGUUCUAAAUCAACUAAAUGAACUAGCCUACUAAAUCAACUAAAUCAAAAUGUUCUAAGUCAACUAAAUCAACUAAAUGAAUUAGCCUACUAAAUCAACUAAAUCAAAAUGUUCUAAGUCAAGUAAAUCAACUAGCCUACUAAAUCAACUAAAUUAUAUCAACUAAAUCAAAAUGUUGCAUAUGAGCAGGAGGGAGAAGGAGGGGCCACUCGAGGAGGGAUAAGAGAGUAGGAUGGAGGAGGAAGGCGGAGCGAGGAGGGGCCGACCGGCGCGGCCAGUUGAGGGAGGACGGAGGAGGAAGGCGGAGCGAGGGGCCGGCCGGCGCGGCCAGUUGAGGGAGGACGGAGGAGGAAGGCGGAGCGAGGAGGGGCCGGCCAGCGGCGAGUGGAGAGGGAGGACGGAGGAGGAGGCCGGUACCGAGUCCACCAAGGAGGAGGAGGAGGUGACGGCGCGCGGGCAGACGGAGGAGGGGCGACGGGGGUGGACCGGCGCGCGGCGCAGACAGAAAGGAUUGAGUGGCUGUGUGAGUGGAUCGGAUAAAGGAGAUGGGGAGAUGAAUGGCUUAGCAGUAGCGCGCUUUAGGAAAAAAGCUACUGCUAAGCUAUCUAGCAGCAGGGCCUUUCACAAUAAAGCGCUACUGCUACGUAAAAAUAGACUUUCUUUAAUAUAUCAAAAAUACAUUGAUCAUCAACGAUCUUUUUGUGUACAAUCUGAUUUGUCAAUAUGAGUCCUCACCGGUUUAGGAACAGGUGAAGACUCAUAUUGCAGCCACAAAUUCUACACAUAGAGUUCAAUGAAGAUCAAGUGCUUGUCAAAGUUUGAGAAGUAACAUAUUUAAGGUGGUAGAAACUCUCUUCACGGAGCGAGGUGGGACUAAAUUUUUGUAGGAAACUUAGCAGUAGCGCUUAUCUGAGAAAUGCGCUGCUACUAUGCUACGUAGCAGUAGCGCGCCUCGCUAUAACGCGUUGCUGCUAUAACUAGCCUCGCGGCGGCCUCGUGGGAAUAAUAGCAGCAGCGCGUCUUUGGGAGGACGCGCUACUGCUAUAUUUGUUUCAGCAGCGAAUUUCGUCUGGGUGCGCUACUGCUAGUUAGCAGCAGCGAGUUAUUUUGAAGCGCGCUGCUGAUAAGAUUCUGUGUAUAGGCUUUUCCCUAGUAGUGUGUCCAUGGCUCAUGCUCAUGUAUUGCCUGAAAGUUGAAAAAGUUUGAAAUUACUAAAGUGUGAAACAAUUGCUUGGCUUGUCAUUGGGGUUGUUCAUGAUUAAAUACUUUGUGUGAUGAAGAUAGAGCGACAGCCAUACUAUAUGAUUUUGUAGGGAUAACUUUCUUUGUCCAUGUUAUUUUGAGAAGACAUGAUUACUUUGAUUAGUAUGCUUGAAGUAUCACCAUUUUCAUGUUAAUAUGAACUUUUAUUUUGUAUCACUUGGAUCUGAACAUUCAUGCCACAAUAAAUAAAAUUACAUUGAGAAUUAUGCUAGGUAGCAUUCCACAUCAAAAAUUUCUUUUUUAUCAUUUACCUACUCGAGGACGAGCAGGAAUUAAGCUUGGGGAUGCUUGAUACGUCUCCAACGUAUCUAUAAUUUUUUAUUGUUCCAUGCUAUUAUAUUACCCCUUUUGGAUGUUUAUGGGCUUUAUUUUACACAUUUAUAUCAUUUUUGGGACUAACCUAUUAACCGGAGGCCCAGCCCAUAUUGUUUUUUUAUUGCCUGUUUCAGUAUUUCGAAGAAAAGGAAUACCAAACGGAGUCCAAACAGAAUGAAACCUUCGGCAUCGUUAUUUUUGGGAAGAAUAUCAUCCUGGAGACUUGGAGUCCACAUCAGAAGAUCCUCGAGGAGGCCACCAGAUAGGAGCCCCCCCCCUACAGGACGCGCCCCCUGUCUCAUGGACCCCUCGAGCACCCCCCGACCGACUUCUUUCGCCUAUAUAACCCUACGUACCCUAAAACCAUCGAAUAUCAAUAUAGAUCGGGAGUUCCGCCGCCACAAGCCUCUGUAGCCACCAAAAACCUCUCGGGAUCCCGUUCCGGCACCCUGCCAGAGGGGGAAUCCAUCACCGGUGGCCAUCUACAUCACCCCGGCGCUAUCCAUGACGAGGAGGGAGUAGUUCACCCUCGGGGCUGAGGGUAUGUACCAGUAGCUAUGUGUUUGAUCUCUCUCUCGCGCGCGUUCUCUCUAUGGCACGAUCUUGAUAUAUCGCGAGCUUUGCUAUUGUAGUUAGAUCUUAUGAUGUUUCUCCCCCCUAUACUCUCUUGUGAUGAAUUGAGUUUCCCACGUGAAGUUAUCUUAUCGGAUUGAGUCUUUAUUUGAGAACACUUGAUGUAUGUCUUGCCGUGUUUAUCUGUGGUGACAAUGGGAUAUCACGUGCCACUUGAUGUAUGUUUUGGUGACAAACUUGCGGGUUCUGCCCAUGAACCUAUGCAUAGGGGUUGGCACACAUUUUCUUGACUCUCCGGUAGAAACUUUGGGGCACUCUUUGAAGUACUUUGUGUUGGUUGGAUGAAUUUGAGAUUGUGUGAUGCAUAUCGUAUAAUCAUGCCCACGGAUACUUGAGGUGACAAUGGAGUAUCUAGGUGACAUUAGGGUUUUGGUUGAUUUGUGUCUUAAGGUGUUAUUCUAGUAUGAACUCUUGAAUAGAUUGACCCGAAAGAAUAACUUUGAGGUGGUUUCGUACCCUACCAUAAUCUCUUCGUUUGUUCUCCGCUAUUAGUGGCUUUGGAGUGACUCUUUGUUGCAUGUUGAGGGAUUGUUAUAUGAUCUAUCUAUGUUAUUAUUGUUGAGAGAACUUGCACUAGUGAAAGUAUGAAUCCUAGGCCUUGUUUCCUAGCAUUGCAAUACCGUUUACGCUCACUUUUAUCAUUAGUUACCUUGCUGUUUUUAUAUUUUCAGAUUACAAAUACCUAUAUCUACCAUCCAUAUUGCACUUGUAUCACCAUCUCUUCGCCGAACUAGUGCACCUAUUCAAUUUACCAUUGUAUUGGGUGUGUUGGGGACACAAGAGACUCUUUGUUAUUUGGUUGCAGGGUUAUUUGAGAGAGACCAUCUUCAUCCUACGCCUCCCACAGAUUGAUAAACCUUAGGUCAUCCACUUGAGGGAAAUUUGCUACUGUCCUACAAACCUGUGCACUUGUAGGCCCAACAACAUCUACAAGAAGAAGGUUGUGUAGUAGACAUCAUCGACCGCCUCCUCGUCAUUUGACUCCUUGCUCUCCUCCUCAUCAUCAUCAUCUGAAGAUUCCCACUCACUGCUCUCCUCCGCACUGGCCUCUCCCUCCUGGCUUUGCUUCAGAACUUGUUCACCAUUGGGCAUCGAAUACAUGUCCGUAAAAACCUACAAGACAAGAAGUCGAGUGAAAGUCAGUCGAGCUCAAGAGCAGUCGGAAUGUAUAUGCAAAAAACAGUCGUAAUGAAGAACACACCUUGUCGGGCUGAUUCUCAUCACUGAAGGGGAAGACUCUCCUGGCUCCUCUGGGGUUGUCCUUAUUGCCUGUAAUGCUCUUCAACCACAUGGACACGGUCUUGGCUGGCACUUCCUAUGGAUGAACCCAAGCAGUGUCGUCAGCUGCAGAGUACAUCCACAUGGGAUGGUCACGAGCCUGGAGGGGCUGGAUGCGUCGACUGAGAAAUACUUCCGGCAGAUCCAUACCAGUGACACCCUUGUUGAUCAGUUGGACCACCCUAUCAACUAGCAUGUUUGUCUCCAUGUUCUCAGUAGCAGUCACUUUCAGUAAGGAAGGAGUCUGGACACGGUCAAAGGUGAAGUGGGGAAGUCCGGUCGACUGACCUGGGGUUGCGAGGUCUUGGCAGUAGAACUAGGUCGACUGCCAGCCUCUAACCGAUUCACAGAGAGUCAUGGAAGGGAAAGAGCUCCUUUACCAUUUUUCGAUACCCAAACCCCCACACAUCUGAUUGACAUAGGGUUUCUCGUCGCUCGUAUUUGCUUUCUUUACCGACUGAGAACGGAUGGUGAAAAUAUGCUUGAAAAGACCCCAGUGCGGUCAAAACCCAAGAAAGUUUUCGCACAUAGACACGAAGGCAGUAAGGUAUGUGAUGGUAUUGGGAGAAAAGUGAUGGAGUUGGGCACCGAAGAAAUUCAAGAAUCCCCGAAAGAAGGGUGCAGAGGAAGUGAGAAGGCCCGGUCGACGUGGGUAGCGAGCAGUACACACUCACCCGGUCGAGGUUGCGGCUCCGACUCUCCCUCAGGCAGCCUUGCUGCACCCUUGGGGAUCAGCCCGGACUUCACCGGCUCGUCCAAAUCUUCCUACCGGAGCGAAGACCGGAUCCAAUCACCUUGGAUCCAACCUGGCAGCAGCCCCGAGCGCGACGACGACCCGCGAUUCUGCUUCUUGCCCUUCGCCGCCCCCGUCGCCUUCUUCGCGCGUUCCAGUGCCGCUGUCUUGUCCUUCACCAUAGUGGCGGAGCAGCGGUGUCGAGAGCGGAGGAGCCGAAUGCGGUGGAGAAGCGGAGGAGGAAGAGAGAAAACAGACGCGCACAGUACAGACGCCUCGGCUCCGUCGCCUUAUAAAGGGCCGCUUUCGAGUGGCUGACGCGUGGGACCAGACGAUCCUGUCAAAUCCCGCAAUAGUCACGCGCGUCAUAUGUGGCAAAAAAGGUGGCGCGGAGAUCGAGGCGCUCCUGUUUAUCCACCCCGCUUACUUCGGCGUGCUCCGUCCCGCGCGCUUCCUUGAAAUUUCGAAUCCCGUGAAAUCCAGGAUACACUGCAAUCAAUCGCGCCAAAGAUUCUGCGCCCCAAAGCAAUACUCGACAGAUGAUGUCACAAGUUCACUCGACGAUUUUUUGAAUCGAUCAAGGCGACUGAAUCAAAGCUGAAGUUUCAACAGGAGUCCUCCAUCCUGCGUGAAACACUCGCGAGGCGCAAAGCUCAGAGCAAGUUCAACUUCAACCUACUUUCCACUCAGACCUUAAUCCAUUCGGGGGCUACUAAUGAGGAUACAGACCCGGGGUAGGGUCAUAGGCCUGACCUAUACGCCCUACCCAAGGUCACUACCCUAGAAGCAAAGAAGUCCAAGAGACGACAAAGAACCCCCAGUCAAAGGUGUUGAGUGCAAUCCACUCGACCAAUCAUAUCACUCAGGUACCCUUCUUACCUGAUGUCACUCGACCAUACAAGGAACCAUUUGACCUACUGAAGACCAGGAGUCACUCAGCACUGCAACGGUCAGGCAUUCGCUCCGGAGUCUUAAAGGUCAUUAAUAUCACUUAUAGUUAGCGUUACCAGUAACGCCCUGUCUUUACGUACAUUGAACCCCUUGUAAUGGAGGAUGGUUGGGGUCCUGGUGCACUCUAUAUAAGCCACCCCCCUCCUCUGGCACAAGGGUUCACUCCCUGUAACACCACACACAUAUAAUCCAGUCGACCGCCUCCGGGCACUGAGACAUAGGGCUAUUACUUCCUCCGUGAAGGGCCUGAACUCGUAAAUCUUGUGUGUACACCUUCACCAUAGCUAAGAUCUUGCCUCUCCAUACCUACCCCCCUUUGUACUGUCAGUCUUAGGACCACGAUAGGUAUGAUGAUACCGACGAUCGAAUCUCUGGCAAGUAACAUACCGAUGACAAAGGGAACAAUGUAUGUUGUUAUGCGGUUUGACCGAUAAAGAUCUUCGUAGAAUAUGUAGGAACCAAUAUGAAAAUCCAGGUUCCGCUAUUGGUUAUUGACCGGAGACGUGUCUCGGUCAUGUCUACAUAGUUCUCGAACCCGUAGGGUCCGCAUGCUUAACGUUCGAUGAUGAUUUGUAUUAUGAGUUUAUGUGAUUUGAUGUACCGAAGGUUGUUGGAGUCCUGGAUGAGAUCACGGACAUGACGAGGAGUCUCGAAAUGGUCGAGACAUAAAGGCUGAUAUAUUGGACGACUAUAUUCGGACACCGGAAGUGUUUCAGAGAAGUUUCGGAUAAAACUGGAGUGCCGGAGGGUUAUCGGACCCCCCCGGGGGAACUAAUGGGCCUUGAUGGGCCUUAGUUGAGAGAGAGAGGGGCGGCCAGGGCAGGCCGCACGCCCCCUCCCCCUUGAGUCCGAAUUGGACUACGAAGAGGGGGGGCUUUCCUUCUCCCUUUCCCUCUCCUUCCUUCCCCAUCUCUCCCUUUUGGUGGAAACCUACUAGGACUUGGAGUCCUAGUAGGAUUCCCCUCUUGGGGGCGCGCCAAGGAGGGUCGGCCGGCCUCCCCUCUCCUCCUUUAUAUACAGGGGAGGAGGGCACUCCAUAGACACACAAGUUGAUUUUUUAGCCGUGUGCGGUGCCCCCUCCACAGUUUUCCACCUCGGUCAUAUCGUCGUAGUGCUUAGGUGAAGCCCUGCGUAGGUAACUUCAUCAUCACCGUCACCACGCCAUCAUGCUGACGGAACUCUUCCUCGGCCGUAACUGGAUCUAGAGUUUGAGGGAUGCCACCGAGCUGAACGUGUGCAGAUCGCGGAGGUGUCGUGCGUUCGGUACUUGAUCGGUUGGAUCGCGAAGACGUUCGACUACAUCAACCGCGUUACUUAACGCUUCCGCUUUCGGUCUACGAGGGUACAUGGACACACUCUCCCCCCGUUGCUACGCAUCACCUAGAUAGAUCUUGCUUGAUCAUAGGAUUUUUUUUGAAAUUACCACGUUUCCCAACACCGACAACAGAGCCAGCCUACAAAAAAAUGAAUAGUUUUGUCGCCGGCAACACAGCCAGCCCCCAAAAUGAUAGGUUUCUCGCCGGCACACAACCAUUGGCCCAGCGGUCGGCACCCAUGCCAGGCUCCAAAAGAACGGCCAUGGCCUAACAGACGACCUAGUUCAGGCCGUCGGCAUCAAACAUCUCCUUCCGCCUGGCCUCGAACCAGCUCCUCGUCUUCUCGCUCAUCUUGCUCAAGUCCAUGCUCAUGAUCUCUAGGGCCACCUCCUUUGCUUUGGUUGCAGCGUUGGUGGCCUCAAUGUCGAGCUGCCUCUGCCUAGAUGUGACAUUGGAGGCCUCGAUGUCGAGCUGCCUUUGCAGGGACGCCUCCUUCAUGUCGAUCUUCCUCUUCUUGGCCGCCUCCUCCAUCUCAAGCUUUUUCCUUUGAAGCUCUAGGUAUUACUUCAUUUGCUCGUCCUUGCUUUGUCGCUUUUUCUCGUCCCUCACAUCCUUUUGAGACAUCAUAUCAUGCAAAGUCUCAUGAUAGGCCAUGGAUGACGCAUCACGUAUGUCGUGCACCUUGGAGUUGGUCUUGCCCCUCGGCCUCUUCAACGCCUAACCAUCUCCACCUCCGGACAACGCGGCCGUCUUCUUGCCUCUCUUCCUUUGAAGUUCACGGUAUUGAUCUUUGAACUUGGGGCAAUUGUUGACGAUCGUCCAACAAUGUGUAAGAGUGAAGAGCUUGUCAUUGUGCCGGGACUUUAAUGCUUCCAAAGAUUGAAAUGCCUACACGACCAACAACAAUUGAACAUGCAAACAUAUAGAAGGCCGAAGUCUCGUGGCCGUAGCAACGAAAGAACUAGGAUGAGGAGAGCAUACCAUGUCCCCAGUGCCGAGACCACUCACGGUUCGUGCUUCAACGCUCUCAAGUGCGGCACAAUACUUGUUGCAUUCUUAUUGGAUGAACAACCACCUCUUUUGAAUCGAGGUGAUGCCACGGUCGCUCGUAAAUUGGUAGGGCGCAAACAACUUUUUUUGAUGGAAUGUCUUGUGAACUCUUGUCCAAAAAACAAGUCCCUUUUAUUGCGCAUCGGUCCUUGUAUCUUGACUAAUCUCCAUCCAACUUUGGCUAAUCAACUUGUCCUCUUCUUGUGAGUAUGAACCCGUACGAAUGCUCUUCUUUCUCUUUUGUGCUUCCGCUCUUUGAGUGAGCUUGUCGAUGAACAAUAGCUCGCCCCCAAUAUCAAUGCCUUCUUCUCCAUCACCAUCACCUUCGCAAUAAAUGUCAUCAUCUUCAUGCCACAAAUCACCAUGGUCGUACUCAGCAUGGUCGUGGGCCUCUUCAUCGGCAAUGUACUGGGCGCGGCCAUCCCGACUUUGGGUCUCGUCGGGAUCGUAGGCACAGCCAUGCCCACCCUCAAAGAUGACAUUCUCCAUGAACUGGUUGUAGAAGGGGUCGUCGAUCGUUGGUGUUGGUGUUGGCAUUUUGUCGAACAGGACGCGGGGCGACGACAUGGUGUCCGUAGACGGCGGUCGUGCUUGCUUUCUUUGCAUCUCGACGGCCGGUCGGCCGCUGCUGCUGGACAUCGGCGUGACGUUGAGGUCGAUGACGACCGAGGGGCGCGGGGUGGACGGCGCGAUCAUGCCAACGUCCGGCGACCCCGAAAAACGGGUCUGUCCAUCGUGCCUCGGCGGAGGAAAACCGGGCGACAAAGGCAUGGUCUGCGACGUCAGCGAGGGGCAAUGCGGAGGCCUGGCGACUGACGAGCCUGUGCUCGCCGGGCCGAUGACCGCUGCACAGAAACCCGCCGGACGACAAAUCCCAAGCAUGAGAAGCGCGUGCGCUUUGUUGACGAUAUCCUCCUCGUCGACCUCGGCCUGCGCCGCGCAGCCUCCACCGCAUCGCGCUCGGCUGCGAACUUGGCCGCGGCGUUCUUGCCCUUGACGACCGCCCUCCGGUUCCUCCUCUUAGCCGAUUCCGCGUCCAACUUUAUGAGCUCCGCUGGCGUGCAUUCCGACCGCGGCUUCCUCGGACCCUUGACCGCCUUCUUCUUCACCUUUCCGAGCGCGUCGACGGCCUGGCCGCCGGAAUUCGUUGGGGCGUCGGCCAUAGACGGGGAGGGUGGUGGGCGGGGCGUGGGACGGUUUGAGGGGAAAUGGCGCGAAAUAGGGCGCCGGGGUGGCGCUUUGUGCCACCGACGGGCGGCCCAGGGGAGGACAAGCGCGUGCGUCCCGCCCGUCCGCGCGAUGUCCGUUUCACCCCCAAAACGGCCCAAACUUGAACCAAGGAUGGGUCGAAAGCGGACAUAAAACGGACAAAAGUCCGUUUGCGCCUGCACGCUGAGCUGUCUGGUUUGUCCGUUUUACCGCAAACGGACGCAUCUGGACAGGAUAAGAUCAUGCGUUGGAGUUGGACUAAGGGGGAGAUCCGUUGGCCAGCGUUAGCGAAGAUGGCUAGCGGUGCCCCGGUUGUCCUCCCCAGUUGCGCCCAAGAUCCCUCUCACGCGGACUUGGCAAUCUUCACUCGCAGGCCGGAGUGAGACAUAUAUCCUCCAUCACUCAUCGUUGAUGGAUUGGACAUGGAGCGUGGGCUUCGGCUCAUUGUGGUGGUUUAUGUGGGUGGUGCAAGGCCACCGAUCUCAUGCUCCAAGGCAGCCGAGGCGAAUUUUGUGUGGUUGAACAUCCCUAGGAAUCGGUCCCCGAUUCAUUGUUUCCACUUGGAGAAUUUUUUGAUGGUGUUAGGCCAACUCCAAUGCACGACCCAAGUGAACAUCUAUUUUUUCCGGAUUUCGUUCGUUUGGAUAAGGAAAUGAAGCAGCGUCGGGCGGUUUCAUGGAUGCGCUGGUCGUGCACCCAACGCGCGUACACAUCUGGUCCGCCACGGCCAACUAGUAUAUCUGUAUAUAUACAUUUUUUGGCCGCAUUUCUUUUAUUAUUUUAUCAACGAUAUUGUCAUACAUUGAAGUACAUUCACAAAUUCUUGACUAGAUGAGCAAGACCAAACAAACUAGAGCCAAAAUUAGACAUGUUAAAAGAUAUCCAACUUUCAUAACUGCUCCCACAAGUUGGAUUAGUAUCCUCUUGAUGUCUUCAUUGUUGAUCUCCGGCUUCUCGAUUUUGCAUACUUCUUUCUUGUUCGAUUCUAAAGAAAUAGACGUUGCUUCACAUAUAGUCUCAUCCCUAGUUUCUAUUCUAGCAACGAGUGCAUGAGCAUCUAUCAAUUUCGUUCUAUCAAUAGAUCGAUGUAUUCUUUUUCCCAAUACCAAAAACUUGCAUCCAUCCUACAUACAAAUUUUUACUAUAAGCAUAGAGCUAUCGAAAAUGCGCAGAAUCCGAAAGCACAACCGAAGCAAAACAAACAUAUACCCCAUCAUUUUUGCACUUGAUAAACACCCAUCUGGGAUGUUCUGACGUUGUAGAUACGCGGCGCAUGACUUGCCCUGGGCAGUCCGCAUUUUAUGAGUGGCAACGGUGAGUCGACGAGCCGCAGGGCCAGCACCUAGUCCGGACAAGGGCCGGGCGUCUAUUUGCCGGUGAACCUCCGACGAUAAUGAUCUGAGCGGCUAGAGGCGGAGUCAAUAUCAGCAUGCGGCAGUUGCCGGGGCUGCGUGGUCCGGUACCCGACUAACCCAUGGCAAGGCGUAGCCUCCUGUGGCCGGAGGCACUCAAAUCCGGCGGUCGGGCUAGACAAUGAGGUGGCCGAGAAAAUGGCGACAGCUAUGGCAGGGGUUUGGGGCGAGGGCGGCCGGGCUGGACAGCGAGGUGGCCGAGAAAAAUGGCGGCGACGUAGGGGCGAAGGGAAGGGGAAUAGAAAAACAAGCGUUUGUGUCACCAACGGGCGGGCCAGGGGAGGACAAGGGCACGCGUCCCACCCGUCCGUGCAUGUCCGUUUCGACGCAAACACAACCCAAAUUUGACCGAGAAUGAGUGGAAAGCGGGACAAAAAACGAACGUUUGUUCAUUUACUCGCGUGUUGGACCGCAUUUUGUGUCCUUUUAAAACCAAACAGAUGGCCUGGAUUGCGCAACACCUUCCCGAGAGUACAGGUGAUAAUAUCAAGAAAUAAACAAAUAGGAUAAACACAAAACAUUCAGGGAACGACCAAAUCAGUUCUAUCACAUUACACUCGAGUAAAUCAACGAAGCACAAAACCCUACAACUACAACUACAAACAAAUCCCAUUCCCAUGUGACUGUUCACGCAAAAACCCUACAACUACAAACUGGAACAAUUACAUUUCUUAAAAAAAGUUAAACUCAAGGAUAAGCACACAAAAUUCGAGGAGAUCAGACAAGCAAAAAAUCCACAAUUUUUUUUCAAGGAUAAGCACAAAAAAUUCACGGAACAGCAAGCAAAAAUCAUCAAAACCUGUAACUGCCAGUUCACCAACUCCAUGACGUCAAACUCGAGGAGACCAGUCAAAUUUUCAGAGAGUUGGCAUGAAUGACCAGCCUUUUACAGAAAGCUUAAAGCAAUACAGAUCAAGGACGGGAAAAGAUAAAAAGGCUUAAGACAAUCAACACAGUUCUUGAUCGAUUUCACCACCAAAUUAGUCCAGCACGCCAAACUUAGAAGAUCAACAAGGUUUCAUGACCAAAUUCGCCACCAAAUCAGUUCAUCAUAUGCCAAACUUGAGGAAAUCAACAGAAUUUCAUGACCAAUUUCACCACCAAAGCAAGUUCAUCAUAUGCCGAAACUAGAGCAAAUUUGACAGAGUUCGCGACCAACUUCACCAUCAGACCACUACCUACUGGGUCCAAGACGAUCAACGAAGCAAAACAAGGAGAAAGACACCAAACAUGCCCACAUCAACAAGGCGUCUCUCACACUCUCGCGUCGGCCAUCCUCCAUGAGCACUACCACGACGGCACUGCCUACUCGACCUUGACGUGGAAGACGUCCGUGCGCUCCUCCUCCUUGACCUUGAGCAGGGUGACCCAGAGCACGCCAUUCUUCAUCUCGGCCUUGAUCUUGUCCAUCUUGUAC
rnacentral:lncRNA from 1 species